UUUAAUUCUGUGCUACAUCAUUUAAGCCCUGUAAAUUUCUCUCUUUAAUAAGCAUUAUAGUUUGGUCGGAUGAAGUAUGACUGGUUUUUUUGCUGGAAGAUGAGUUCAGUUGUAAAUUACACUGUUGUGUUUCCAGUUGACCUUAUAUUCUCUUUUGUUUCACAUCAUAUCAUGCAUGUGCAUUUUUCUGUAUAAAAUGGUCAGUAAGCUUUUUCUUCUUCAUUGUUAUCAGUGGUCUUUCUUGUAUAGUUUCUUAUAUUGCCUUCUUCCUAGCAGAUCAUAAAUUCUGUAAUUGAUGUUGGGCCUUUAUUCUACUUUCUUGAGGGAGUAUAUGUUGUGUAAUUUAAAAGAUGAUAGUUGCAUUUUAUUUUCACUCCAAAACACUAACAUGAUUAAAGAAAAAUCAUUAUAUCCAUCAAAGAGAGCAAAUAUGACAAAGCCAUCACCCAGAAGAAUAUGCUGGCCCUUAUAUUUUCUUGCCCAUAUCUUCUAGCGUGUAUUACAUGGUAUGCCCAAUGUCAUGAUAUUUUUGUGCAGAAAAAGAAUAAUCAGUUGUUGUUCCCUCCACAAAUUGAUAUGUAUUGAUGUCUGUGCACCAAGUUCUAAACUGAUGCCAUUUAGGAAUAAUUCUUUGUUGUCAAGAGCAACUUUUCUCUCGGUAUUUGGAAGUUAAACUGGAGACCAGUAGGACACCUUUAGCUUGGUGGCUGACAAUUGAGCAGAUUUAGCAUCAUGAUCUUAUUUGGUAUGGGUAAAGUUUGCCUGGUAGUGCCAGCUGCAGGUAGUAUCAGGUUUUAUGAUUAGGACACCUUUAUAAUGGUUUGGUAGUUGACAAUUGAGCAAAUUUAGCAUCAUGAUCUUAUUUCAUAUAGGUAAUGUUUGCCUAGCAGUGCCAGCUGUGGGUAGUAUCGAGUUUUAUGAUUGGAUGUCCAUGGUAGGUGAUUGAGAUCUUGAAGGUUGUUGAUAAAAGUUUGGGUAUAUGGAGGUCUCCUUUUCUAAUCAUCUCAAUUGUUUUUUUGUUAUGCAAGGCAUGAUAAGAAUUAUUGCUUUGGGAAGUGCUUCUGGAGAAUAAUUGUGGCUCAUGUUGUUCCGUUACUGCAGAUUCAAAUAACUUCAGUAUCUUAUACUGUACAUUACUUCAAUUGGGGCUUUAAAUCAUUUAGGUAUUUUCCUGGAUUGGGUGGAUUAGAAGUUUAUAGUUGUGAUGUUUGAUUGAUUGGUUCCUGGAGAACAUAAACUAGUACUACAAUGAACAAGUCUGCUUCAAAUAAAUUGGCAAAACAAGGGUCAAUCUUUGGAAAUGAUAACUGUAUAAAGAAACCAUAGUUGUACUAGAGUAGGUCUUGAGUGGUAUUUUAUUUGUUGCAGUGCAAGAUGUGUAAUGACAGUGAGAACAGUCGGAUACACUCAGUUGAGGGUAUGGGAAAUUUUGUUGUUCAAUAGAAUUGGCAACAGUGUGUGGUCUGAGGUUAAGCUGUGCAUAGUCACAUGGUUAGGCUGUUAUUGAAAGAGUGAUAAUAGUAAAUGAUUUCUUAUUAUAGGUACUGUGGUAUUUGGAAGCAGAGGCAUAUGAUACUAUUUCUUUUAGCACAUUGAAAGUCUAAGCAGAAUUUUGGUUGUAAACUCUGAGAAGCAAUGGUAAGCCUAACCGUUUGGUACUACAAGUGAUUAAAUCCCUUCUGAAUUGUAUUUUGUGGCUAUCUGAUUUUGUGCUUCCAGGACCCUUGAUGCUACUCUUAGACCCAUCUUUUGAUAGCCUUCAACCUUGUCUUUGCUGGGCGUCAUGUUUAGCAUUAGCUUUAUGUCUGUUUAGCUUCUUUGUGCUUUGUAAUGUUUGUCUUCCAAAUAGCUGUGAUUCUUGAGGCUGGUCAAAUAGAUGGAUCCAAAUUUGGUGGGUGGACAAUAGUCUUUUGGUAUUAUGGGCUGGUUUAUCGUCCUUCCAUACCUUACAUGAAGGAUAUAUUGUGGUCUCGGUUCAUGCUUUAAUAGUUUCUUUAAAUCGAAAAAGCACAGUGCUAUUUAAUUAUGCUGGAUAAUCUGUCAGGAGAAUUUUGCAUAUUUAAACUGAGAACAUGAAUAUAAAAGUUCUUUACCAUUAUGCACUCAUUAUUAGUGGGUAAAAUCCAUCUGGGAUAUUGCAGCAUAUUGUGUAGUUGCAGUUGAGNNNNNNNNNNNNNNNNNNNNNNNNNNNNNNNNNNNNNNNNNNNNNNNNNNNNNNNNNNNNNNNNNNNNNGGAAAAGCUGCAACUGCUGCAGCUAACGGCCUCAACCGAGAGUUUGGGUAUAUUUUUUCCUUCCUAACCAUUCAAAGAUACUGCUGUGAUUUUAUGUUUCUUUUGAUGGCAAAAUCAUUGACUAACGUUAAAAAAAUAUUCACUAAAAUUUCAGGCCAAAACUGAAAGAGCACAUGCAGUAUUGUGUGGAUCACCCUGACGUCCCUGAGGAAAUAAGCAAACUGGCGAAAGCGCGAUGGGUUCCCAGGCCCGUCGCGCGAUGGGUUUGGCGUGGCCCUGCUUGGCUGGGGCCCAUGCGGAGGAUUCUGGGAAGGCCCCUGUGGGCGGGGGCCUUCCACUGUUCCCAGCCCAUGUGGGCCCUAUGGGGUCCACAGAUGGGCCUGCUAUUGGGCCCGAUCCACGGGCCGAGCUGGCGGGUGAGCCUGGGUUCCAGUUCAGUGCCCGGGCUUUGGGGGUAGCCUCAUCGUCCGAGAUCCCUACUAUUCUAGGUUCCCUAGCGGCGGAUGUGGGACUAGGGGAUGGUGUCUCGAGCGGGCCCGAUUUGGGCACCCUGACCAUGACCAGCGAUUUUCCAGUCUGUGUAGAUUGCCCGAUGCGGGAUGCGCCUGCACCUGUAGAGCCUGGGCUAGGCGACUCGAGUGUCUCCGAGGAGGCGGUGAGCAGGUCUACGGAUCACUCGACAGUCGUUCAGCAGGUCCGGGCGGCAGUGUUGCGUGUUGUGUCCGGGCCUAGUGUGGAUGAGGGUUUGCGGGAUGUUCCUCAUCACGAGGCAGCGAUGGACCCUACGGCCCAGAGGGUGGAUGUGCUUGCGGCCGACCUCUCGGACUUCUCCCCAUGAGGAUUCUUGCGUGGAAUUGUAGAGGGGCGGCUAAGCCAGCUUUUAUGUCAUCUUUCAGGAGGUUGGUUCAGAUCCAUAGUCCAGCGAUCUGCCUUCUCUAUGAGAACCGACUGUCUGGUAGAGGUCUGGAUCGUGUAUUACGGCGGNNNNNNNNNNNNNNNNNNNNAGUGAAUGAGUAUUUUCAUUCUAAUAUUUUCUUGCCUGUUUGGGAACUGGGAUCGGAUUGACUCCGUAAUUUGGAUAUCAUUCCUGUAUAGCCUUGAGUGCUAUUCUUUCUUAAUAUAUCGAGUAGUCGUUCUCUUUCUAUGCCCUAUUUUCUUGGUAUGGACAUUUUGUUGAUGCCCGUGAAUUGAUGAUGUAUUGAUCUGAUGGGAUGGACGAUUUGCUGCUAUCUCUUGGUUGUCGGUUACUGGCAUAUGAAAGCCAGACUCCGACGGACAUGAUCAUUGAGUAAGUCAAACUGGAACAGAGUAGAUUGAUGGAAAAGAUGUGGAGCAGUCUCUUUACAUCUCCUCCAGUUUGUCUCUUCUCCUUCGCUUUGUCUCCUCUUUGACUCUUAUCUGUCCACUUUGAAUUAAUUCCUGAGCAUUUGAACCCCCCCCCCCCCCCAUUGUGUACUUUUUGUGAUAUGAUUCGGAGUAAUGGCCGAUGUUUGUUGGAUCUGGGCCAUGAAAUUGUAGUGUAGCAAUGGUCUGAUAAUCGUUGGACGGUCGUGUAUGCUUUGGAGCGAUUUGUCUUGUGAUUCCUGUACGAGUAGUUUGUCACCCUGUUAAACAGUUGCACUUUAUGUAUAAAUACCCAUUUUUUGAUAGCCCAAGAAAGCUGAAGAGGCACCGGUCUGUUCCAAGCUGAUGCUAUUAUAGCGAGCGAUGGGGGGCUUCUCCCUUAAAAGGGCAAAAGGAGUUUACAUUAAUAUUUGUAACUAAAUUAUACCAUAUUAUAAGAUUAGAACUCAAAAAUAACUGAAAAUGACUAGUUAGUUUUUUUAUUUUUUUGUCUCGUACAAUGAAGGGAAUGUAAAUGACUAACAGAGGGAGGUUUCCGGUUACGUAGGCUGUUGCAGGCUCGGUUGUCGACGGGUCUCUUGCACGGAAUUUGCCAGGAAUAACGAGGGAAUGAAAUAAUUAAGGGUGCAGAGCCCGAGGCAAUAAGGGUGAAGCUAGUAUUUACAUACGUGUACGUACCUCUGUAUCUACGUACGUAUGUACGUACAUGAACGUACAUACGUCUCUCUUCUCUCUCUUCGAAAUAUUUAUAUUUUCAAGAAUACCGAGCUUGCCAUGAUUGCGAACCAAAAUUGACGGAGGAACGCCUAGAAUAGUUUCAUGGGCAAAUAAUAGCCAUUAUUUCCUUUACAACAGUCAAUCUUUGGGCAAAUAAUAGCCAUCGCCAUCAUAUCACCAUCUUGGGACAUCUACUUGGACCAGCUAAUCGUCCCUUUUGGACUACAACUUGCUAACGGUACACGAUACGUCUUCUCCUUUCUUUUUCUUUUUUUUUUAACGAUAAUUUAUAUAGCUGUAGCGUGAGUAUAUCCUAUCAAAUUAAGAAAAAAUAAAUACAAGGGAGGAGGUGUAUCUCCUACGGAUGUUCAGAUGAUCUUUCCGAACUGCCGGGCAACAAAGAAAGUGAUUCAGUCUGUUGCGUUGCUUGCCUCUUGAACACGUAAUGCCUGAAAAUAGCUCAACUUCUGAGCCAGUCUACGGGUAUCACGGAUAACAUGAUGACCAUCGCCAUAAUUGUCCACUUCCCGAAUCCAAUUGAUCACCCCUUGAGGCAUAUACGCUCAGCAUCAAGCCCGCCUUGCAUAGGAGAUACCCUUGUAGGCUGCCCGAAGCUCAGCCCCAACCACAGUGAGUCCAGACGUACGACGACCACUAGAUGCUAUCAUCCUGCCGAGGUGUUCUCUGAUCACAAAUCCAAUACCUUCAGACGUCCCAUCCACCGACAUACUACCAUCGAAGUUCACUUUGAUAUGACCAAAAGGUGGAGACAUGCAAGAAAUAAGGGCAAACCUGGACAUUGUGACAGCAGAAGAAGUAUCCCAGAUAUCCCUGGCCAUUCCGAAAGAGAACAUAGCGGCAACUGUGGUGACCGCCCCCGCAUGGAGCAUAGCUUUAUCUACCACCAUCCUCGGGAGUAACUUUUUGCCCUCAAAUAAGUUUGCAUUCCUAUCGUACCAUAUAUAAUAAAUCAAGUAUGCCCAUAAGAUCUCCAUCUCAACAAUACUAGAACUCCGCAUGGAGACUUUCAACCAAUGAAUCAAAUCCUGUGCCGACUCCACCGAAUGGGGCAGAAAAUUAGCUAACCUACUCCAUAUCUCCCUAGCCCUAGGAUACCGCAAAAAAACUUAACCGACGACCUGAAAAGUUCCAUACAACUUGUUUCAUCUGACAAGAGGGAGUUUGCGGAUCCUUAAAGCAUCGAUCCUUGCCCUUAUUUAAAAGCUGUUUUAUUCUGCAUUAACAAAUUUAAUGUUAAGACUAAUGACGAAGUGUCGUUACACUCCCAUCAGACUAUAUAUAUAAAUAUAUGCACAUUUCUAUCCUAACAUUACAAAAAGGCGAAAACAGACAAAGCUAAAAGAAUCAACAAGCUAUCUGGUCUCUGCAGGUGGAAAUCUCCUCAAAUAUUGGUAACCUCUUGGAUCGGAAUGGGGCCCACUCGUUCAUCACAAGGUCCAGUCUCUCCAUGAUCUCAUCUCUUGUGCUCAAGCCCACAUCCAAUGGAGAAACAGCCGGCUGCAGUUCGAUCUCACGCAGCAACUCUUCCGCCCGGCCAAUCGUCUUGCCGUCAUCAGAGCCUGGGUAUCUACGGUGCAGGACUUCCUCGAGCACUGCCCGGGCCUCGUCGAACCGUCCCUUUUUAAUGAGGCAGAGGCUGAGAUUGCACGCCUUGUUCGCAUCAGGCUCGACCAUUUGAGCUUUGCGAUAUACUGCCUCAGCCGCGUCAUAGUUGUUGUGCUGCAUGUAGGCCCAACCCAGAUUGCCCUGUCGAACAGUUUGGAAGAAAUCAGAGACUAGAAAGCUUUCAUCACCUUGAUUAAGGUUUAAUGAAUAUGAUCGCAUGACGCAUGGCAAAAGGUGCAUGGAUUUCUUCCAGAGAUUCUUAAGCUGAAAUGUUAUGACUAUGGAGUGCUGUGUGUGCAUGUCUAUAUCUAUUUCUAUCACAGUUAUAGGUUACCGGCAACAAUAACUGGGAGCAGCAACAACAACAAUAACAACAAAUAAAGAUUACCAGGAUGCGCGAAGUUUCUUUCUGAAUUGAGAUCUGGAACUUUUUGCCAUGGGAGCGUGCUGUCUUGGUGCUCUUCCCAUUGAAGGUUUCGCCAAGGCAUAUCAUCCGCAGCUUUUGCUUUAGAAGCUCUAUCUGCUCCUCUAUCCUUCCACAUUUCUGACCAUCAAAACGUUUCAUUAUCAUGGAUCGUUAUCGACAAACUCGAUCAUCUGGAUUCUUUCUUUCUUUUUCCUCCGACUUGGAUACGACCAUUAAUAUACAUAUAUACAUAUAUACAUAUACAUAUAUAUUAUAUACUUGGUAGUUGGUAGGAAAUAGCUAGGCUGAUACCUUGUAAAGGUCAAUGAGGAGAUUGUCCAAGGAUUCCUGCGCCUGCUUAGGGCAGAGGUGCCUGAAGGAUUUGAUGGCUUCGACCGCUUCCUCUGCACGGUCCUGCUGCUUCAUUACCACUGCCAUGUCCUUCAGUGCACUAUCCACCCGGUCCCCAGCAUUUAUUGCCUUCCAAAACCAUACGAUCGCCGUCUCUGGAUCCUUCUCCACAAGCUGAUACAUUAGAUCGUAUAUUCUCCCAUUAGUUAGGAUUUCCGGUUUCAAAAAUCAUGCUUAAUAGUGUGUUGAUGGAUCAUGAAACAUUACUUCAGAAGGCUAUCUGGAUUCAAGGGGUCACAUGAUGAUGCCUACUGAAAUAUAAGAAGAAAGGUAGGAUGGCAUCAUGUUGUGGAGAGAGGAUCAGAAAUCUAAUACAAAACCGUAUAUAUAGUUUCAUUACUAAUUAGCAAUUGCUUUAUUUUUUUAUGAAAUAUUCCUUGAGUUAGUUAUGGAUAAUGUUGUGUGUUCAUGUAAUCUGGUCCGGAUACCACUGAUUAAUUCAGGCCAGACAUCCUGCAAAUGCUGAAGUUGGAUCUCAUUUAGUUUAGUUCCCAACAGCGAUGCAAUGUGAAAUAAGAUGCUGAAUCUGAGCACAUUCACAAGCUUCUCAUUUACAAACUUUGAAAAAUUACAAAUAAGAUUCCAUAAGAUCCGCAGCAUCUCGAAAGAUUAUCCAGAGAACCGAAAGCUUUUCAUUUUGUUGUUGCUGCAGCAGCAGCAACAAAGCACCAAUUCUUCAGCAAUUCAUGGAGAUUUCAUAAAAUUCAAGAUUUAUCGGAAAACAGGAGCGAUUAGCAAAAUUAUUUGACCAAUAAAAUGGCCCAUGUAUUAAGAAAAGAUUUUUUUUUGAUUCAUCUAAGAGAUAACGACAAGCCAACAACGAAUGUGGUGCAACAAAUUAAUCUGUGUGUAUGAGAAACAAGCACUAUCGAACUUCUAUUUAUUCUGAUCCAAUCACUAGGGUACAACAGUCACAAGGCUAAUGGCUUCUAGAAAAGUAGAUCUGCCCUAUAAUGAAAAGAUAUGAAAAAUAUGGACCACAUCUUGAAAGUACUCAUCACUCUAUCCCUUUGAUUCUAACCAAACUACCAGUCAUAUCCACGUUCCUCCAAAUGCAAACUCCCAAGAACGUCUCGCGCAUAAAAAGAUCGAACAAAAAAAAAAAGGCAAAUCUAAAUCAUGAAAUCAAAACUUGGUCUGAAAGAAGCUUUGUAGCUCAUCCCAGUAAUACCAAAAGGAAAAAAAAAAACCUAAAUUGCACAAGAAUGAUACUUAUGGGAAGCUAGUAAUGAGAAAAUAUAUAAACUCAAACAUGUAUAAAAGCCAUAAUUAAUAAAACAAAGGAGAAGAUAUCCACUAUUUUUUUUAAAAAAAAACCCACCAGAUCUAACUUAAAAACCGACAAGAAAUCACUCCCGAGAAAAUCUUAUGAAGAACUUCAAAUUAAUUAGCGGAUUAAGAAAAGGUACCUGGAUGUGCUUGGCUCGACCAUAAGGGCUAUCCCCCGCCGGCACCUUAUGAAUCACAUGGAACAAAUCCUUCUUCUCUCCUCCUACUCUCCUCUUCCCUCCUUCCAUAUCUGUCUCUCCUUUCUCUCUCUAUCUUCGUGCAAGAAAAGCUGGACGAGGUUGGAGAGGACUGCAUAAUAUCCGACGGAAGAGGGAACGGGGUGGGACGAAGGUGGACGGGAAGGCGUCUAAGUUCCCGAGACGGGGCCCACAGGCGAUGCAAGUUCGCAUCCGUCUGAAAAUAGAAGUGGCAUGACGUGACGUGUCGGCCAUAGACGGGGGGUGUAUCUUUCGCGCGAAGGAAGGAUUUACCUUUCUUCGCGCGAAUCUACCGUUGGAUCCGUAAUGACUACUUCGAGAUCUAUCUAGUGCAGACGAUGGAUGGAGGCGUUCAGAAUGCUGUCAGAGCUGUGCGGAGCGAAAUCAACGUUUUGCAACGCGCCGUCCGUUGGACGGCUCCUCCUCGAUCCCCAUUUUUUUAUAUAACCAUUACUACCCGCCGGUGGGAGGAAUCUUAUCAAGAGCAAGAUCAUUGCACGUCAGGCUGACGUAAUAUUUUUGGGACAAGGAGAGAGACUGAUUGAUUUUUGACCUACCGCGAAGAUGCCACGAUGCAUUGUUGCUUGAACUUGGGCAAGAUUCAUGCUUACGCUCUUCGGUCAUGAGUUACAUUAUUGUUUUAAAUAUGUUAAAAAACUAACUAACCACGCUUAUCUGGGGUGGUUGUUAAAUGCUAAUCCUCUCUACUUGGAUUACAAAAAUAAUAAUCCAGACAGUCGUAUUCACUGUUUAGAAAACAAAUGACGAGAAAGAACAAAAUGUGGGUUUCGCUACGAGUUCCACGCAGAGAGAGAGAGAGAGAGAGAGAGAGAGAGAGAGAGAGAGAGAGAGAGAGAGAGNNNNNNNNNNNNNNNNNNNNGAGAGAGAGAGAGACGAAAUAAGAGCUUCUCGUUCAACGGUUUCUUCUUUAAUGCAAGGUUACUGCUCCACCUAAAGUCUUUUAAGUUAUAAUCAUAACCAAAACCAUCAAGCAUUACCCUGGUUUUAAGAUCGUUCUUUAAUUACCAACCUUACCCAUGAUGGUCUAUCGUUGUUGUUAAUAUAAUUUCCUCUCUCAAUUUGAUAAGACCAUCCAGGCAUCCACCAAACAUCAGCCUCAACCGGCUAGAUACAGGACUGGAGUACACCAUGAAAAGAUCCAUCAACGCCACAAGUCCAAACUACGACAACCAACAACUAAUGUAUAGAUCAAUGAUCAAUCAAUGCUAAAUACAAGUCCAAACUUCCACAACUAACAAUUAAUAGGUCACCAAUAUUGCAAGUGCACAGUGAUCUUAACAUCACUUGAACCCAUCCAUGCACAGGCCACACCUUUCACACCACAUGGGGUAAUCUGUCGGAUCACUCUACUUCCUACUUGGUUGAGUUAGCAAUAAUAAAUUAUCAGUUAUUUUCUUAACACAUUGCAGGUUUUUGAAAUCACCAGCUAGAGCUGAAAUUGUAUAAAAACCUGGCAAUGGGUAAAGGAGUGGAUUAUCAACUACAGGAGGAUGGCCUUAUAAUGCUUCAACAACCAGGUUAACUCUGAUGAAAUCUUAUAUCUAUGGUUAUCAGAAACAUACUGACAUCCAAAAUUUGUUUAGAUUUCGCAGGUUAUAACCUCAAACAAAUCUUUGAGAAUAUAAGCAUGAUUCUUUGUGAAGAAAAAAAAAUAGAAACAACCUGAAUAUUACCAAAUAUAAACAAGAAUGCAGGUAAAAGGAAAGGUACAGAAAAUAGGGGGAAAAAGAGAGCUCAUAGGUACAUGGGGGUAUAGCAAAUGGGAGGAUACAGACUGAUGGAGCUGCAUGCUUUAGGUACAUGUAGCAGCCAUGGGAAAGGGCGAAGAUGCACAAGGACUGGCAGGGAUGCAUGCACAUAUAGAGAAACAGCAAAGACAGCUUAGCUUAUCGAUAAUUUAAGCGAGACAACCACCACAUCUCGCAUUUCAUGGCCCAAGCAAGUACUAUGAUAUAUUUUACCUUUUCCCUGACAGUAAAAACCCACGCAUGCAUUAAAACAAGGGCACAUUCAGCCACCGGUUCAGGCAUACGGUCAUAUAUUUUAAGUUGCAUAUGCAUGCCACACCCAUCAACAUGUAAAUAUACCAAUCAUCCCCAGGCGAAAAUCUCUGAUCUCUGGCAUCCAUAGAGGUUAAACAUUCCUGCAGCGGAUUUUUUUUUUUUUUUUUGGUACAAUAGCUGCUCAUUCUAUUCUAAUAUAGGUACAGUCAAUAAAAUUAAAGGCUACAAUCUGUUACAAUUGCGAGAAGGUUGCUCGACCAACGAGCCUCUCCAAAGUGCUGCGCAGUAUAGAAAGCGAUCCAGUCUGCAGUUUUGUUCGUCUUUCAGAACACAUACACUAUCUAAAAAUACUACAAUUUCUCAGCAUCUAAUAGAUAUGAUAGAAUUAAUAGAGGACUUCCAUCUGUUCUCUAAUCUGCCUUUCAUGUCGAUCAAUUAUUGUGGCCGGGUCGACCUCGAAGUUUCUGUUUACAAGUCAAAGGUGGAUGCUUUGGUAGCUAAUAUUUGCUGUAGUAAAGCAUCAUGUACCCAAGAGAAACCAAUAUGGCAGCUGGUGUACGUUGUGUGCAUUCCAACAACCUGACUCUAGUACACAAGAUGAUGUGUGCAUGUGUAUGUUGGUGUCAUUUAUUGUGAACAUCCCUGUUUGCACAUACGCAAAAUUCGAAAAAAAAAAAAGCAAGAUUACAACCAAAAAAUCCCUGAAGAUGCAUUGCCAUUAUUAUGUAUGUUAAAACAUAUAUGAAGAUGCAGCGCAUGCAAAUCUCUAAAAGACGAAACUGGCAGUAGUUGCUUUUGGAUCCCAAAAGAGUAGCUAGUUUUGGUAAUCACAGAUCAGUAACUUUGACUUCCCAGUAUUUGCGAGCAAACGCUCGACAGAUAACAGGAAAAAAGAGAGAUAAAUGAAGCGCAUUUUUAAGGUUACAUCAGCACUUUAGUGACAUGGAGAAUUAAUGUUUAAUCCAAAACCUCGAUACCUAAAGUUUUCGAAAGCAAUAGCAUACAAAUAACAACAAUGAAAGAAAGUUAAAGCUGUUAUUAAUUUAGGAUCACUUGUAAAUCUAUGACCAGGAAGCUGAAGUUCAUAGGUCACACUUGAAAUUUGAAGACAUCCGUUGUUCUUUUUUUUUUAAGGAAGUGGAAGGUGCUUGGAUAAGAUCAUCAAAAGUACAAAAUGUUGCAAAUAUUUACUCGAGGAUGCUGAGCUUACCACGAUAAUCCCAACCUCCUCUACCUCAAGCUCGAUCCACCUCGACCCCAAUUCCAGUUCCAUCCAGUUCCUCGACCUCGACCACGUCCUCGACCAUAUGAUUCUUUAGGAAGCAACACGGUAAUUAUUGAAGGGUUUCAUUCAACAGAAAUUGCAGAAAAUGAAUUGCAAAAACCAAUACCUUCAGAAAUUUGACUUUGUGUUUGUCUGGGUUGAUGCUGCUGCUGCUGUUCAUACUGCUGUAGCUGCUGCAUCCUUUGCUGUUGCCUCGUCUGCUCUACAAGUAAUGGAGCUUGAUACCUACAAACAACUCGCAGGUGAAAUAUUGGCAAUGUAAUAUCCUGUGUCGACCAGUUGCUCCAUAAAAAAACCCCUUGCUUUCAAGUUAGAAAUGCAUAUAACACUAUUAAAAUGGAUUACCCGGGAGAGUUCUUGUUCAACUCUCUGGUUGAUAAAGUUAUUGAAAUCACUGAGACAUGGCGAGCCAUCUCCGAACUGCACUGGGUAUUAGCCAUAUAUUUGCACAACGUUUAGCCAUUUGCACAGACACCCUCUCUUCUUUAAAAACUUUCAAUCAAACCCCUUAACUUCUAAUUUGAGUCGGUCUCACCCCUCCACCUCGUCAGCUCUACGACUCCGUUCAUGGUGGUUAGUAAAUGACCAAACUACCCUUCCUCCCAUUUUUUUUCAUUCUCUCCUUGAAAUCCCACUUUGGCCUUGGAACCGUAGCACACCUCCUCUGCUCCCUUGGCUGCGCCUUCUUGUUGCUUGCCGAUGAUCGACAGCAACUAUUCACCCUCACCACCAUCCACCCCUUCACCUUCUCCUUGCUGAUCCCCAUCCCACUUCCCCCCCAAAUCGCACCAUCACAUCCAAUAUCGAAUAAGAUAUUGAUUUUCUCUCUUCCUGUACGCUGUCGCCUCCACCCCAACUGCUGUGGUAGAUGAGCAGGUGAGAGGCGAUGCGGAGUCCAUGGCCAACAUCAUCUCUAGCCUUCUCAGGAAGAAGAUAAGGAGUUCGAUCGAGAGGCAACACCCUACCUUCAACUCGAGCUCUCUCAAGGUUGCCAAGAUCCAGAACGAUAGCACUGCCUCCACAACCUCAAUUACAUGAUCAAGAAGCUCCUUCGGAAGCGUGUCACUAGGAGCGCCGCCGCCGCAGCAUUGAGCCGCUCUGCGUAACCAUUCGCGUGAAUCCGAACCGAUGCCGCAUAUGUGGGGCUUCUCUCUCUCUCUCUCUCUUAGGACAAGGGUAUAUUAGGAAUUUUAAUAAUCUUAGGACUCAUGGGAUGGUCGCUUGUUUUACGAAGUCUGUUUACCGAGGAUGGAUGGAAGGGUUAAAUUGCAACCGGAAUUAAAUUGAGGAAGAUUUAGUCUUUGCUUUGUUUUCUUCCCCACGUUGCCUUAUAUGAAAAGUAGGAAGACUUUUCCUCAUAAAUGUCAAUGAGAAAAUAUUCAAUGCAAAAUUUUCAGAUAACUAGAAUGAAGUGCGCCUAACAUAUAUUAUUGAUAAAUAAGGGUUCCAAGUCAACGGUCCUAUACUAAAGUUUUAUCAUUUUAAACUCUGCCAAAUUGCAACUUGUGCCAUGACUGAAUUUUCAACUGCAUCAAUAUAUAUAUUAAUCAUUAGCACCCUUGAUGGAGAUAAUUACCUACAUAUUUCAUGAUUACUAUGUCCCAGAGAAUCAAGUAAUGUCAUUUCAAAUUAAGGCCAGCCUUUAGAUUCUUGAAGUAGCAAAGCCAUAUUGGGAAAUCGAUGAAUUUCCUCUCUCUCUCUCUCUCCCUCCCUCNNNNNNNNNNNNNNNNNNNNAUUCUCUCUCUCUCUCUCUCCCUCCCUCCCUCCCUCUCCUACUUCUUCUUUUCUUUUUUAACAAAAAUAUCAUACAUGACGAACCGAUAUAACUAAAAAAAUUAAAAGGCAAAAUAUCCCGAAGCGCGCUAGGUAACUCCGUCUCUCCUAUCUAUAAGUGGUCUUCCAAAUGGUUGGCAACAAACGAAGCCACCCAAUUCGCAACUUCAUUGGCCUUUCUAAACACAUACUUCGGCUGGAUCACCAGCCUAUCACGGCCCAUGGCUCUAAUAUCUCUAGGCAGUGGGUUCAAUAAAUGGUAAGCAAGCAAGAAAGUCUUUGCCAAUUCAAGCUCACAUCUUAAUUACUUUUUUCUUUAUAAAUUUUUCGUCCCUCAAGCCAAUGUAACCACCUGCAAUUUUGGAAAUGUUCCAAGCAUUUGAUGUGUUCGAUUCUAAUUUUUUAAAGACAGCCGAAUGCCACCUCUUGGACCCUACAAACCCCACAAUUUCGAAUCAAAUUAUCUUGUUCUUCUUGCUUCUGCAGAACGUUUUACGACUAUAGAAGAAAAAUAUUUGCACUCUUGGAAAGACGAACCUUGAUAUUCCAUAAGCCAGCACCAUAGGUUUAGUCCUACAAUUUUGUCCUCCAACUUAGAGUGUCUUCUCAAUUGAAUGACUAAAAAUAACAAAUACACGAGGUUGUCGACUAGUAUAGUUGGUAAAGUUCUUAGACAUGGGUUGAAUCGCACCCUCACCUCGAUGACUCCUAACAUAAUUAAUUGGAUCGCACGAGCAUGAAUUAUAAAUUAUAUCAUCAAAUCCUAACUCGCAAGUCAAUUUCCACAAACCAUGCCUAAAGUAACCAGACUAACAUCUUUAGCCAGGCACUUGGAAGUUGCUUUCCCAUGUUGGGUUCCUUCCUUCCAAAUCCUCCCAAAGGGCUUGCAUGCUUUGGCUGGGGGCCCAUCCUUUGCAUAUUUAUAUACAUCACUUCUGCAUGCACAACCCUUGUCUAUUCUCAGCGGUCUUGCACAUAACAUGCUAUAAAUAGCAUGUUAGCAGCGGCAAGCACACUAAUGAGGUGAAACUUAGGCCUGUCGUGUAUUGGAGAGAUAGGAAUUAAUUAUGCUACCAAGAUGUCUGAUAGGAAUUUGUCAUCAAGAUGAGCAAUACUUUUAGAAGAUGUAAUUGGUAUUAUAAAGAAAGAUUGCAUGUCAUUCCACAAAAAAGUUUAACUAUCGUAGAACUAUCAUAAAUAAAUCUAUUGGUUUCUAGCUGCACUUAGGGCUGCAAAUGGGUCGGGUCGACCUGUGACCCGACCCGAUCCGAUCCUAAAUUUAGGACCUACGGGGCCGGAUCGGAUCCUAAAUUUGGACCCGUUCUAUUUUUCGGGUUGGAUCGGAUCCACCCAAUUUUGACUCGGUCCCGGACCUGACUUGAUCCAUUUUUUUUGGAUCAGCUUUUUACUAUUAUAUAGUGGAACUUUGAAUAUAAAAAUACAUAGAUAUGGAUCCGACCCGACCCGAAUGACCCGUCGGGUCAAAAUUUGUAGGCAUGAACCCGACCCAACCCGAUUUUCAACAAGGUCAGGUCUGGGUCCAAAAUUAGGAUCCGAACAAAAACCGGAUCGGGUCGGGGUCACUUUGGAUCCGAUCUGAUCCGACCCAUUUGCAGUCCUAGUUGCACUCCUCUUGUAGUAAACAAAAUAGCUAUAAAAAUAUAAAGUAAAAUUAAAAAAAAUAUUUAUAACUUUGAUAUAAUCCAUCUGAACUGAAGGGAUCAUAGCCGUCCACCAAAUAUUCCAUAGUUUGGAUUAGACCACGUGCGCUGCACGUGCUUAAGAUGGAUCUGGAUCGGGAUGCCCGGUCCGGCUCGCCGGUCCAGAAUUCUAGGUCGUUUCCGCGUCUUUCCCAUUCUAAAAGAAAAUUAACAUUUUUUAAUUUUUACUUAAGAAACUAAGCUAAUUAAAGAAAUUAAAUAAAGGACUUCUACUACCAUCACACUCGUCCUCCUCUUCCUCCUCAGAGGUUUCCAUUCCGAGCUGCUAAAAUCUCCAUCCAAACCCCACUCUCCUUUUCUUUCUUUCUAAAAUUUCUGGGUUUUUUCUUCGUCCCCGUCUCCUGGCUUCGUAGUCGAAGAUUGGAGAUCUAAGGAACGUACGAGAACUGAUCGAGCCCUCGUUUUUUCGGCCAUUCGAUGCUUCCCGAUCGGUUCUGGUUCGUCUCGGAGAUCUCAACUCCCCGAGUGGAAAAGGAGUCUUCUUUUCUUUUUUUGUUUCUUCGUUUUAAAUCCUUCUAUUUACAAGGGUAUUGAUUUUCCUUGUGGUGUUGUAUUUGAUCCGUUUGGCGGGUUUUUAGGUAGAGAUUUAGAGGAUGUGUUUCUGUGAUCGAGUUGGGAACUUUUUGGGAUUAUAAUCGGAUUAUGAACUCCAUGGAACCGGUUUGGUUGAAAUCUCGGUAGGAGAGCACCAGAGGGUAGAGGAGAAGGAGUUGGAUGUUUCUGUUAUUUGUUUUUUUAGAAGUAAACGAUGGUAGAGUAAAAUUCAGCAAUUUCAGUUCAUUCACAGUUUUGGAUCCCUGGAUCUCGGAUUGUUUGUGGUGCUUCUGAAGCAUCUUCUGUGUUCGAAUUUUGAUGCUUAGAUUAGUUUUGCUGGCCAGGACUCUUUGUAGAUCUUUGGCAGUUAACCCCUGUUUUUCUUAGCUGUCCACUAUGAUUACUUCAAGUACUGAUUACUUUAAUAACGUUAGCUUCUUCAGCGAUCCAGCGUGUGAAUCAAUGCUUACUUUCUUCGCCUUUUCUUUGAAUCAGUUUUGUUUAUUGAUAUGAUGCGAGAUGUCUUGCUGUCUUUUCCUAUGAGAAAGUUUAGUUCAGUUUCCAGCUACUUGAAGAUAUUCUUUUUCUUUCUUUUUAUCUGCUAUAUGUGAUUUUGUGUUUUUCUUAUUCCUUUGGUUGACUUAGUUUGUACUGUAUCGACCUAUGCAUCAAAAACUGUUUUUAUAUUUAUGUGUAUUUCUUGCUAAUAUAUUACCUGGAUACAAUUUAGGGUUUGAAAUGCAAGUAAUAGAUUACAAUGCUUCACAAGAGCAAGUUCAAGUUGGCUGCACUUGUGGGUAUUGCCUUAUCGGUGGUGUCUUUGCUGGUGCACCUUCUUCUUGCUAAUUAUUCAACUGGGGACUUUAUACAGUACAAGUUACGAGAGGAUGAUUUCUAUCCAAUUGGACAAGUAUGUUCAUCACCACCAUAAUGAUUGCCUUAAUCAUUAUAAUACUGUGUUCGAUUUUACGUAGUGGCUGUGCUGAAUCUCAAAUGUUUUUGAUAGCAGGAUUGUACAUGCACUGACAGUAUUCUUCCUAAAUGCUAUAUUAGCAAACACCAUGUGCAUUUUUUUUUGGGGUCAGAAUUAUGUGAUGAUUGCUGCUAAAAUGAUGUUACAGAAGUUUCGCUAUCAAAAGCUGUGGGGACCCGUAAGCUCUUUGGAAGCCUUGCAGCCAUAUGCUAAUCCUAGAAACUUCUAUCCUGGUACGACUAGUUCAAGCUCCUUGAUGAAUGUGCUGCUUUAAUUUCUUUUCCAUUACAUAAUUUUGUGUCAUAUAUUCACUCAAUACAAGUUAAACAGCAAUAAGUCCUCGCCAAAAAAAAUAAAAAUCAAAGAUGGAAAAUAAGAACAGAGCCAUAUAACUUGUAGUUCAUGGCUGGAGUUGGGAGGAUUGAGAUAACAAGUGAGAAAAAAGAGGAGUAAGACACAGGCUAUAGUGAAUUCUAUACAACAUCUUAAAUGGAUCUUUUGCCCUGAUAUAACUACUUAUCUUGUGUAAUAGCGCAUAAAUAUGUUCUGGUUAAAUGAGCCAUAAGUAGACUAUUAGUGACUUACAUGAUCAUAUGGAUUCCUUAAAACAGUUUAUCCAUCCAAAAGGUAAACACCUGAACCAGCAUGAACUUGUUUUACAUUUUUGGAUGAUUUAGCUAGCAGGCGCUGGAGAAAGAGAAGCAAUCCCCAUAUUCCCACAACUAGGAAGUCAGAAGCGUUGCUACCAGCUCGUAAGAGAUUGUGCAGAAAGUAACUAGUGGGAUAGUCUGAUAUUGCUAUGUACGUAUCAACGGACAGUGGGAGGAGUAGGCAUUAGCAGUUACCGAAAAAGGGCCAGUGGGAACCGAGCAAGGGACACUGCCUAUAGAGUUCAACUCCCAUUCUCAACCCAUGAACAAUAUGAGUCCGAAGCUUCCUUCGUAACUCCCAGAACUUCUUCAUAACUCAUGAAUAUAUUUUAGUUAAAUAGGUAGACCACCAUCUUGCCACAGGUAGCUAUAUGAAGUGCGUGAUUGCACCCAAACUACUUCUGACUUUGUAAAACCUAGAACCAUCCUUUUCUCAUUUAAAUAUGUUCAGAGUCACUCAUGAUCAAUUAGAGAUCAGCCUAAACCAGUUGUAAACUGAUCUGGGGCAGCUUAAAUUGGGCUGAGAAUAGUAACUUUAGUUUUGAGGAUUGUCAAUAAUUGUACCUCUGGGAAAAUGAAGCUAGCUUGUGCAGGAACUUCUUUGUGUCGCCGGAGCACAUUAUCAAACAGAAACACCAAUGUACACCUUGAGCAUUCUUAACUCAACUCCUGCAUGGCAGAGGGCACUCUAUUUUGCCCCUGCACAUGUGAGCUUGAAAGCGGAUAAGAAUUUUACGUACAGUUCCCAACAUAAAGCCCAGUUAUGUGCUGCUGCUAUUUAUGUGCCUAGCUUGAAAAUGAACCUAGCUCGUGCAGGGACUUCUUCUUGUCGCCCAAGCACACUGUCAGAUAGAAACACCAAUAUACACCUAUAGCAUCCUAAAGUCAACUCCUGCAUGGCAGAGGGCACUGUAUUUUGCCCCUGCUCAUGUGAGCUUGAAAGCGAAAGGAAUCCCAUGGACAAAACUCACAACCAAAGCCUACUUAUGUGCCAGGCAUGUGAUCUCUUGACACUUGGAAUGGCUGUAUUCUGCAUGCAAGAUAGCAUGUCAGUUCCCUUCCUUAUAGACAAGGUUUAUGAAUGUGUUAGGCCCCUUACUGGGGUGAGAUGUUUUGGCUCCUCUAAUUUUUAUUUGCCUCCAGAUGCUUCAAACUGAAAGAUAUCAAAAAUAAAAGGAACUAUCUUUUUGUUGAAUAGGCAAAAGGAAAAUAAAUUUAAAAUUGACUGCUAUUAGCAGAGGUUUUAGUGUGAUUAGUUAUCUGCCAAGAUUACUAUCUACUUGAAUUCAAUGCAUUUUUUCUUUCUUCUAGUAUAAGUGCUUGUGCUUUUGUGAUAUACCAAUCAUGUGGCCUUUUUUUAGCAGUUCUGAAAGAGCAGAAUGGUUUCAUAUAUGCAAAGAUAUAUGGUGGCUUUGAUAGGAUAAGAUCUUCGGUAGGUCCUUUUCAUCUGGGAAGUGUGUGUGUGUGUUUUCCAAUAUAAAUAUAUAAUGUGGUUCUUCAUUUGCUAGAUCUGUGAUCUUGUUGCCGUCGCCAGGCUUUUGAAUGCCACUUUAGUCAUUCCGGAGAUUCAAGAAAGUCUUCGCUCAAAAGGCAUCAGGUUUUUCCCAUUGAUUCUUUUUUUGGUAAAAUUCCCAUUGAUUCUUAAAAUACAUUUUAGUUGUCUAACUUUUUGUUGUAAGCUGAAGUUAAUGUGUUUCGGUUGUUCUUGUACUCCCCAGUACCAAAUUCAAGAGUUUCUCUUAUCUUUACAAUGAGGAGCAGUUCAUUGCCGCACUUUCUAAUGAUGUCAUUGUUGUGAAGAGCUUGCCAAAUGAUUUGAAGGAGGCUAGAAAAAAGACCAAGUUUCCUACAGUUUCCCCUAGAAACUCGGCCCCACCAAGUUUCUAUCUCACGGAAGUGUUACCUAAACUUAAACGAUCAAAAGUUGUUGGAUUAAUAAUCAAUGAUGGUGGAUGCCUUCAGGUGUGAUUGUUAUCAGACUUUCUUUAUUUAUGGCUUCCAGCUAUAAUUGUGUUUUUCUUCAAAAAUAGUUUUUUAGAUUGUUGUUGAUGUAUAUAUUCAUUAUAUGCCAUACAACUGAUUGUGAUUCCUGCAACUCCAACUUGCCCAUCAAGGGCAAUACACUCAUUCUACCAUCCUUGACUGAUGAAUAUACUGCUUUUCAAGUAGCCAUACAUUUUAUCGAUUGUUGAGUAGUCUGCAAGGAAACAAGCACGUUCUAGGGAGUGCAACAGUAAAACAAACGGCUGCUUUUAUCAGUCUUUUCUCUUGUCAGCUAGCAUCUAUUGACAGCUAGCAUAUGGAGCAUGGGCAUUUUGCGUGUCCAAAACUUUUGCUAUGCAUGCAGAAUAUGGAGGUGCCAUGGAUCUAACUUUGUUGUUUCCUCAAAUAUACAAGAACUGAAUGUUGACUAGUUUCAGGCUUCCAACUGAUAUUUGGAUAUGAACAUUGUUUUAUUGCUUGCCUUAUUUUUUGUUUUCUUUUUUUGAUAAAUAAAACAAGUGCAUCACAUACAUAAAUAUUUUUUUUUUUAUGCACACAGAUAAUCAUGGUAAGAAAAGAAAAUUUGCUUAAGCUUCUUGCACAUCAGAUUUACUUUUACAUGGUGUAUGGCUAGAACUAAAAGCUAUAAUGAUGCAGGGCAAAGGAUCUUUGAUUGAAUAGGGUUUCUUUAAAACCUAAAAUUGGAUUUACUAGAAUUCUUGUUUAGACCUGAAAUACUGCAACAAUUAGAAUUUUAAGGGGAUCUUAAUUUCACAGGCAAGACUUGGUCCCUAAGGUUAGAGAAGCUUAAUUUGAAGCUUUGAAGGUUUUAUGGACUAAUAUCAAAAAAACUGCAGGCUUGCUUAAAUUCAACAAUAAACUUGAAAUUAUGAUUAUGUUUGUCUGGAAAGAACUUGAAUAUGAUAUAGUUCUGCAGGAAGACAUAGGGGGUCUUAGUGAUUAAGUAAUACGAUUGAAAGAUGGAAAGAUGGAAUGCAAAGCUAGAAUAUUAUUUAACAUGAGAGUAUCAAAGUUAAAGGUAAGUGCUGAUUGGACCUUUAGAAGAUCAAAAAAACUAGCUGCAUCACACUAUUGUGAAUCCUAGGCAUCAUAGCUAGCUGCAAGUUCGCUCCUUUGUAGAUGAACUACACCAUGACAAAAAAGUAGAAGAAAGUUUUCUAUUAUUUGUACAUAUGAUAGCUGGUCCAACUGUAUGUUUAUUUGGGCUUUUCUUUGUUAUGUGGGAGGAAACCACACCUUUUUUAAUCAUUAGAGAGUGGAAAUCAAGGCCAGGUUUCUUGCAUCAAGACGAGACUUUACCAACUCAUCCAGUUGGAAGUUAGCACCCUCUUGUAUUGGUUACCUAUUGUGGCUGAACCAUGAGACUUUCCUACUUAUGGUUCAUCAUAUAUUUCCUACGUGAUUGUCCUUUGUAAGGAAUCUAAAUGAGAAAAGAAAGAAAUAUUGUUUGAGAGAGCAGUAUUUGUAGUCAAAUAUGCAUGUGUGCAGGCCCUUGUAUAUCGACGGUUACAUGGGCUGCAAAGAAGGUACCUAAGCGGACCAUGUAAGCCCAGGCACCUGCAUAUGUGGCUUAGGUGGUUGCAUCGGGUGAUGUGGGUUGUGUGCAGAUUAAGCUUGGGUAUAAUGUUCCACACAUCACUUUGAGGGUUAAAAGGCAGACAAAUUUUAAUCCCUGACCAUCCUGUGAGGUUGAGAGAGGUAGAGAUGGCAUAUAAGGGAGGCAACAACAGAUUUGGUACAUUUUCUCUUGUAAUCUCCUUUGCCUUUGCUUGUACUCCUCCUCCUAUGCCUUUUCUCCUCCCCGCUCCUUGCCUUCUCUUAAUUAUUUAAUUCCAUAUUUAUCUUUUUAUGUGUUUUUAUGAAAUUUAUUUAUCUUGUGUUUUUUCCAAUACAAACUGCCUAUGAGGCCACAUAAGGCCUACUUGCUACGAAAUAUCCCUGCUGCCCAUACACUCGAGUUGUGUCUAAAACCUUGGAAAGAAAUGUUAGAAGGGAUGGCCAUGCCAUCUAUAGGCCAUGUUUUGACAUAUACUAGGCGUCGUACAGUAACGAUUCUACAAAGUGAUAAGGCUUAAGGGUUUCGAUCAGUGCCUAACCAUCUGUCCUUAAAACAGAAUCUUUUCUGUGAACUCCUCAGAAAAGAAAUGGGUAGUCAUUAUUGCAGCCAGGUAACAAGCCAAGAAGGAAUCCUUGAAGAAGUCCUCCAAAAUUGGGAUCAUAGUUGGAGUUGUGUUCCUAUUUAUGCUUAACUAAAGCUUAUUAGUUAAAAUUUUUUACUUAAGGUGCUGUAAGUUCCCACUAUUACUUCAAAGUGUGAGAACAAAACAAUACUAGAAUUUUUUACUAAAUAAUUUAUAAUGCAUCAAUUAAAUGAGUCAAUUACAGUCAUUGCAUAAUAUUUAUUAUUAUGUUGUCCUGAUUCUCCCUGAAUACUUUGUCUAAUUUUUGCAAUUUCUGGGUUCCCACUCUUGCCACUGCUUUUGAUACAAGUAACUAAAAGCUGAACCAGUUAAAAGAAAAUAGAACCAUUCCCUUCUUCCAUAGACUCUCUUGGCCAUUACUUUUUUAUUAAUUAUUCGUGGCUCGAUGAAACACAGGUUAAACGGAAAGAAAACAGAGAAAGAAGAGCCAAAGGAUCAAUAUUUCUUCCAAAUAUCCCAGUCAAUGUGCUGAAAAUACUUUUCAAAAUUUAUGUGCAAUUGGAAAGGGGUUAAUUUUUUUCACUUGACUAAGAAAUUACAAAACUUAUGAUCCUCCAUUCUGGCUAUUUGAUGGUAUAUGACACUAUCAAUUUACUUUGAGAAUAUUGAAAUGAAAUGCAAUCAAAUCAUUUUCUUGUCGAAACAUUUGUUCUUGUCUUGUCUUGUUCAAAUCCUUCAUUUGUCUUUGAAGCUUAAUGCUUUCCAUGAUACUGGAAUUGGGAUGAGCUUAUCUGAAAAUCCACAAGAUAAUAGUAAGAAUAAUAACAUACGUGACUCUGUUCAAUCCUUUUUGUCUAUCACUAGAUUCCUGUUAAAAAGGAUUAUAUGAGAUUUCAAAAUCAUAAGUCAUUGACGUAUCAAAGGAUGCAUUAGGAGGUAAGAUGUGGGAAUGCAAUAAGUGGAAGCAGAAACUUUGCCUUACCAAGAAUUAUUAUCCUUUUUCCGCAAAAAUUAAUGUUUGAAUUUUUUUCAGUUGUGAUAUGUUUGACUUUACUUAAAAUUGCGUACUUUCAAGUAAUGUUCCACCUAUAAAGAGAAUCUUUUAGUUCUGUUCAGAUAAUCUAAUGACACUCUUAUCAUUUGUAUAGUCUGUCCUUCCAGAAAGUAUGGCAGAGUAUCAGAGACUCAGGUGCCGUGCUGCUUUCCAUGCCCUUCAGUUCCGUCCAGAAAUUCAGGUGCUUGGGAACCAAAUUGUAGAGAGGUACGACUGCUUAGCUUGAUCACUCCAUUACUAUGAUCAACAAUUAUAAUGAUUAAAUAAACCACUUUCCCUAUUAUAUGAACCUUCUCUGGCACAUAUAAAUUAUUUAGUUUGACAGUGCUCACUCAGUUUUUUUUAUGUAAUUAUAUGAUCCCUAUGUUUUACUGUCAGAAUCCUUCCUCUGCCUUAGUUCUUUGCACAUUUCUCAACUUGCAGGAAUUGCGUGUUAGUUUUUGUUUUUUUAUGUAUGUCUCCUGCCAUAAUGGGUAGAUUUCAGAUUAAUCUCAGUUUAUGUUUCUUUGCAGCUUACGAGCAUUUGGUCGUCCAUAUCUAGCAUAUCACCCUGGUCUUGUGAGAGACGCCUUAGCAUUUCAUGGCUGUGCCGAGCUUUUCCAGGUUGAUAUGAUAACUGAUCUCUUGUAGAUGAAUUUUGAAUAGUACCACUAGUCUGUAUGCUGUUUUUCCUUCGGUCAUUCUUCAUUUUUUGGUAAAUUUUCUUUUGACACACCUUCCAUUGGACAAUUAUAGGAUUUGAGAUAGUUUGGUUGUGCUUUCAAUGGUUCUAUUACAUUGUUACAUCUUAUUCCCAUGCCUCACUUAUUCCUUUCUUGAUGGGCUUUCUACUUUAUGCUGCCUAGGAUGUUCAUGCUGAACUAAUACAGUACAGAAGGAAACAGAUGAUCAAACGUGGAAUAGUUCAUGAAGGACUUAGUGUUGAUUCAGUGGCUCGAAAGAAAAAUGGCUCAUGUCCUCUCAUGCCUGAAGAGGUGACUUUGCUUAUUCAUUUCCGUCAUGCCAAACUAUAAUGUAAAAGUUGGAUAAAACUAUAUUUUUGUUUUCUCACUGUAUCACUAGCUAAGUUCUAAUAUUAGCUUAUAUGUUGCAAAUUUUGUUUUUGUGAUACAAUAUAGCAAUGUUGAGUCUGAAACCAAACAUACUUCUUGAGAGGGUUGUAACUCAGAUUAUGUAUAAUGCUUUGUUUCUUUGAAAUUUGUGGUUUUAUAUACCUUGAGAGUCCCUGUGAUUUUGUGGUUUUAUAUAACUUGAGAGUCCCUGUGAUUACUGGCAAAAGUUAAGUGUUAUCACGGCAGCUGUUAUAAAGUGUAGCAGCAAUCAGAAUUGUUGCUGUGCAGUUCUAUCAUGUCAUAUUUUAGUUAUUACGUUUUCCAUGGCCAGUAUAAUUGCAUCAGCUUCUGGCCAAAUUAUUUCUGUUAAAUGAUGCUAAGAGUGCCUUUCUUAUUUUUCUGGUUAAUUUGUUAAUGUUUAGCCAAUUGUUGCUGAAGAACAUCUUAGGUAAUCAUUUUCCUCUUAGUAGGUUUCAUAUAACAAAGCAGAACAGGUGAUACCUGUUAGAAUUCCUUGGGGAUCUUCUUAUCCUGUUUGCAGUGGUGGAUAUGUGCACUAUAGAACAAGCUGAAGAAGCUCCUUUUCUUUCACAUUGUAUUUAUGCGUCCUUAUGUUUAUCAUCGCUUAUCUGCAGAACCCUUCCUUUCUAUUGAUAUGUUCCUUUCUCUCCAGUAUUUUUCUUGAUCUAGGAUUCCGUAAUCAUUUUAUUCAUCUGCUGUGACAUAAAUAAAAGGCAAAUAUUCUUUCUAUUUUGCAACAUCAACCUUUGGGGUUUUCAUAGUUUAUGUUUCUCUUAAUAAUAUAACAUUUUAUCUCUUGUAUCAUUAUAUCUUUUUGGAAGGUAUGAAUAUCUUGAUCAUUUUUUCAACCAUAAGCUGGUGGUUGUUGUAGCCUUCUGUUGCAUUAUUUGUAUAGUUUUUUACCACUAGUUUGUUUUGACAAAAACUUACCAUGCAGGUGGGGCUUCUCCUUAGGGCAAUGGGAUAUCCUCCAAAUACAAUAAUAUAUGUGGCUGGUGCUGAAACAUUUGGUGGGCAGAGGAUUUUAAUUCCUUUGCGAGCCAUGUACACAAACUUAGUGGAUCGUACUUCUUUGUGCAGUAAGAAAGAGCUGUCCAGUUUGUUCGGACCAGAAUAUCCUCUUCCUUCAAAUCUGCGUCAACCCCCACCUGUGAAAAGUGAGAAACAACUUAUUGAAGAGUGGAAAAGAGCUGGGCCUCGUCCACGACCGCUUCCUCCACCUCCUGCUAGGCCUUUUUAUCAGCAUGAGAAGGAAGGUUGGUAUGGUUGGGUUGCCGAGACUGACAAAGAGCCAGACCCUUUGCCUUUGGAUUUGAGGAUGCAAGCACACAUGUUGCUCUGGGAUGCUCUUGAUUAUUAUGUUUCUGUUGAAGCUGAUGCAUUCUUUCCCGGCUUCAACAAUGAUGGGAGUGGGUGGCCAGAUUUUUCAAGCUUGAUCAUGGGGCACCGACUAUACCAAACAGCUUCUGGCAUAACAUAUCGUCCUGACAGGUAAAAUCCUAUGUGCUACUGUGUUGCUGUUGAACUAUACCGUUGAUCUAGUGGCUAGAAUGACUUAUGGUUGCUAUUGAUCAUACGAGAUAUCUCAUCAUUCAUGUAUCAACUGCGUUAGUUAGGUAUCAGAGUGGCUUUUGGAUGCAUAUAAUAUGUAAGUCAUAACAAUAAAGUUCUUACUAAGCUUGUAUAUAUUAUAUUUUUGAUAUAUUGAGUUCAUAUUUGAUCUAUGUGCUACUUAAGCUCGUACAUAUUAAAUUUUUAAUAUGCUAUAACAAUAUUCGACCUAAUUAUAACCUCUGAUGUUUGUUUCUGUAAAGUUCUUACUGUAAAGCCAUAACAAUAAAGUUUCCUAAUAAAAUUCCAAGUUCGACCAAAUAUUUACAUAUUGACAUUAAACGGCACUGCAGAAUUGAAAACUGGUAGAUUACGGACUGUAGAACAUGAUAGGUCUUUGGAAGCAGUUUGGUUAGUGAUUUCCUACUUUAUCUUGCAGAAUUUCCUAAAUGAACUAGCUAUAAUAUCUGGAAUUGAGAGCUUUUAAAUCAAGCAUCUUUAUAAAGAUUAUUCUCUCUUAAUUUAUUUAUACAUUUACUGACCACUAAGUCAAAGAGUAAAUUUUUUGCUAUCUAAAUAUGCUGUAUGAGUUGGUAUCAUUCCCGAGCUUAUAGCAAAUCUGGUUACUUAAAACCGUUUGACAAGUCAUAGGUUCUAGAAGCAUACAUCCAUUCCAUUUUAGAAGUUCAGAUUCCUAUCAAUUCCAGUAUUAUAUGUAUCUAUGUUCUGCAGUAAUUGACUUCUUACCUUGUGCCAGGAAAACUAUUGUCGAGCUUUUUGAAACUACUCAUGACAAUCUAUAUCAUCCAAAACGCAACUGGACGGUUCUUGUGCGGGAUCACCUUAACAAGAGUUUAGGUGUGGAUGGCUUCGUAGCGGAGGCCCAAUUAUCAAAACCUGCAUCAUUCCUUUCUCAUCCAUUGCCAGAAUGUUCCUGUAGAACAUCCAAAUUGCCCGACAAUUCUAAGCCUGUGAAGGGCAAAAAUGGUGAACUGCUAUAUGGUGGUGAGGACAGGUGCCCAGACUGGAUGGUUCAUGGCCUUGCAAUGGUUUCUGCAAGGGCUACCGGUGCAACAGAUGAGGAAGUUGAGGAGGGCGAGUUAUCUGAGGAUGACAGCGAUGUGGAGGGGGACUCUGAAAAUGGAAGGAGAAUUGAUGCAAACAGAUCUGAACAGGAUGAAGAGAUGGAUCCUGAUGAUUAAAAUUUUACGCAUAUACAUACUGAAAAACAAUUCUACAAAAGGGGCAAGACUUGAAGAUUGUGUCAAGCUCCUGGAAAUAUAACAAAGCUGCAAAUGUUGCAAGGACUCUCUCUUUCUGCGAGAGGAUCUAUUACGACAAAGGCUUAACUGGAAGUCGCUGUCGGAUCUUCGGUAUACAGCUUCAACACAGAAAUUAACCUCAUCAAAAUUUUCACUGGCCUCCUAAUGAAUCCUUGUCUGAUUUGUAUAUUCGUAAUCGUUGGGAAGUUGUCAUUCAUGAGUAUGGUGUUCAUGUUGCCCAGGCAGGAGGAUUCUCAUAUAUUAAACCCAUAUAGAGACAAGGAUUCUUGUAUGCAUCUCUGAUCUUUGGACUUAUAGCAACUAACUAUAAUUUGUUUCAUUGUGUAGAAAAAAUCACACUACUUACUGGGGACCUUGGAUUUUGGAACAUUUCGGUCCUCGGAGCCGGUCAUACAUUCUCUGCUAUGGAAUCUCAUUCUCUCUUUUGUUUUAUGAUGUUUCAUUAAAUUCUUUGAUCAAGCAUUAUCAGUUACGCCGAAGUACAUUGUGGCUUCUGAUUUUUCUAUUAGCCUUAGAUUAAAAUAUAUACCUACAAUAAAGUAGGAUGGUUUUAUCAAACCAUAUCGAACAAAAAACGAUCCCAGUGCAAUAGAACUAGCCACAAACCCGACCCGAUUGAUCAAAGCAAGCCAAACUGAAUGGUUAUAUCCAAUAAACAUAAAUAAAUAACAUCGAGUCCAGUGUGUCUGAAAAGAUCUGAGUCCAGUAUGUCUGAACUAUUCAGACACACUGCAUCUGUUUGUAUUUUCUAUAAUAUCUUUGUAUUCCAAGACUGCUGUUUCUCAUUUUCAGAGAUUAAAUAAUCCCUGAAAAAACUAAUGAACGAUGAAAAUAUCAAAUAGCAGUUGCAAAAAGUUGGUAUGUUGGAGAACUGUAGCUCUAGCAAACACUCCCCACGCCAAAAAAAUAAAAAUAAAAAAUGUUUCUAUAUAAGGUAGUUUAGAUUCUCUGUGGUGCUACUUUUGCACUGCAGAAUACGGGAUCAUUGUGGAUGGCCACCACAUCAUCUAUCUCGGAGAUAUGCAGCUUUUCUUUAACUCUUUGAGAUGCUGUAUACCGUAUGGAAAAAAUGCAUGGACAUUUUUCGAAAUAAAUGAGAGCCAUCUCUCCCAUCCCUCUUCAAAAUGGAUGAUAUGGCGGCCAUCUAUAAUUGUGACUCUGUGGUGAAAAGUUGCACCGCAGGGCAUCUGAACUCUAGUUUGGUUGCAGCAUUUGGGAUUUUUCAAAUUAAACAUGCUGUUACAACAAUAAGAUGCCAGAAAUGCUGUUGGGGGAAUAAAUAUGGGAAGUAGGUUAGGUCUAAUGCUCAUCCAACCAUUUGCAUUGGCCUUUAAAUCCACAUCAAGAUCCGUAUAAAGCAUAGAUCACAUGCAAUGCACUGAGCAAGGUAUUGAAAAACUAAACUCUAGAUGGAUCUCAAUACAGAUCAAAAGGUCAAUGCUGGUUCAAAUUAUCAAAUUAUCGGAUGAAUGUUAGACCCAACCCUUCCAUAACUAGAGUUGUAGGUAGCCCAACUAAAUGCACAUAAAAAGAAUUUGUAUUAUUCAUAACAUAUGUUCAUGCCACUAAAUAAUAAUUUGAUGUUAAGGUAGGGAGAGGUUCGAUACUUGGUCUGGUACUCUUGAGUUGAAUUGCUGGUGUCUAAGUUUGGAAAAAAAGAUAUGACUACAAUAAUAUUUUCUGUAAGGAUUCCAUUUAGUUGAGCUGAUAAAGUCUCUUGGUAUGAAAAUAAGAGACCUAGGCUUAAGCUCCUUUUGUACCAUGAUUCAAGAUGUCAAUAAAUUAUCAACGAGAUGUUUUUCUAGAAGAAAAUCAAUUCUAGAUCUAAUAAGCAUCAAAUGAAGCAAUUUCUUUUAAUGGUUUUAUUAGUCAUACAAAAUAACACCCUCUUUUUGGGAGCUUUGAGGUCUAUAAGGACUAUGAUCAAUAAUCCAAUUUCACAAGUUUGAAUCAUUAUGCGUUCUUCUUGUGCCAAUUCGUCGCACCCAAAACCAAUGCAACAUUACACUAGUCUUGCACAUGCAAUGUGGAUAGCUUGAGCUUGCUGUUCAUCAUGUUCCAUGAACACCUUCAACUCGACAUGUCAUCCUUCUAAUAUCUUGUCAAAAACCAGCAUUAGUCUUGAAAGCAACAUAAAUGUCGUACUACAGACAUUCAAAGAGUGACAUGAUUGCUAAAGCUUGUCUCUAAGUUACCAGCACUUGGAUAGCGCAAUGCGUUUUAUCUACCAGCUUCUUUUGUUUCCGUCUGUAGAUAAAAACGACUCAAGAGGGAGUAUAUCUUUAAACGAAUGUAAUGCUUGUGCUGCUGUACAGGUGGAGAUUUGUCCUGAUUUUUUUUUUUUUGCUGUACCAUAUGAGUCAUAUAAAUCUCUUAUGAAUAUAUUUAAAAAAGUCAAAAUAUAAUAGGUCACAAAUCUUAAGCAGCUCUUCUUUACCAGUCCAAAGAAUUUCCAAAGUUAUCUGCCACAAAAAAAAGCCACCUAGUCCCCAGGUUCAUUGGCCUCCCUACAGAAGCGAUCCUGGCGGUGCUCGGACUCGGCCUCUGUUCUUACAGCCCUUCCCAUGAAGGACUUAUAGAUGCUUCAAGUUUCCUCGCACAAAGCAAUUAGCUUUAACCUCCCCAGGCCCUGGCCUUCUAGAUGUUCAUUCUAUGGACACUUUACGUAUCUGGCAAUUAUAUUUAUCAAGAAUUAGAAGAGGCUGGCACCAAAUAUCGUCGUUAAAAUAUUGUUCUUUGCAGAGUCCAUGAUAGAUUUUGGGCCAACCGUGUUCAUUCUAAGGUGAUUCUUGGUGCUCCGGGGCCGGGCUAAGCCCGAGCCUAGUAUGGAAGCCUAUGUCCUUGUUUGGCUCGUAUGCUGUGCGACCUAACCAUAAUAAGCUCUGAGCUACUUGUCUCAAAGAAAGAAGGACCAAAUAAUGAGCCUGAGAAAUUGCAGCCACCUUUAAAUGGCUAUAAUGAAUAAAGAUCAAAAUCAUAUAAUAAAAGUAUGCACAAAGCUACUAAAUUAAUGUCCGAAGAAAUCUUUAUUUGCUUUUUCUUUUGUUGUGUGUGUGUGUGUGUGUGUGUGUGUGUGUUGGUGCCGAAUGUAUCAUUAGCCUUGACCUUAAAGCCAUCCAUUCCUGUGUGUUCUUGUUGUGUCACCACCCUCAAGUGUGAUAGCAAUCAUAUGCAGAUGGAAUGAGUUUGAAGGCAAAGUGGAUGAUACUAUAUUUAUUGUCUGCAUAAAUUUCUCUGCGAAGAAAGCAUCAUCCUCCAUUAAUGGCGUCGCACGUGCAGCGCUAUGCAUGAGGCAAUGAGAUGGUCCCACGUGACCAACAUAAGGAUGGUCGAGCCGGUGCCUAAAAUGGAAGUUCUUUUUGGGAGCCCAUAGGGCGGCCCUGCCCCAAGUCUGUACUAAAAAAAAGGUUUAGGUACAGGAAGUUGCAUGCAAAAUUCUCUUUAAGGGAUAGAAAGAGGCCUAAGAUCGUCUAAAAGUACUGAACUAAUGAGGCUGUCACACGAGAACUAGGCUCCCUUGGGGUGUUUAGCGAGGAGACAGCGAUGCUCCUUAUGGGGCGACGCAGCCGCUGCAUCAAAAUCCCCGACUCCAAGGGCCAAGAAAGCGAGGAAAGGGAGAAGGCCUAAGGCCGUGGGACCGGCCGGUUCCACAGGAAGGGCGCCCCGAAUCAACAUUUCACGUUGGGAACCAGCUUGCUUUUGCCUCCCUCCGCUUCAAGGUCCCACAAAAGCGCAGCAGAAUCGCUUCCAACUCCAAAGAUAAAGAAAGAUUCAAAAGAAAAAGAAAUAUACCACCCAUCCAACGGCACGGCAGCAUAUAAAAAUACUCAGAAACUAUCCCCCUCUAGCUCCACACACACAUUACCAGUCUUUGCCUUAGACCCCACCUUCCCUCCCCUUCUCUCUUCUCCUUCGCUUGGCUAGCUCUUCCUCCUCCUUCAUGACAUUAUAUACCAAUGCACCUCUUUAUCCUAUAUCCUUCUUCUACGAUGGAAGCCGCCUCCUGCUUUGAGAAGAAGAGGAGAGUGGACGGACGGACUCUGGGACAGAGAUAGAAGAGAGCUGGUGGGAGAAGGGAGGGAGGGACAAGAGGAGAAGGAGAAGGAGGAGGCAGAAGAAAGACCAAGGGAUGGUCAAGUCUGCUAGGUCCAUGAGGGCCUUGGUUAGUGGGAUAGCAUGCUUAUUCUGUAUGGCGAUUUUGCUUUCUGUGGCUAUAGAAAGUGGAGGAAGAACAAUGGCUACGCCACCAUUAAUGGCUGCUGCUCCCUUGGGGCGGAGCUUGGAGGCCUCAUCGAGAGAUCGAAUGAAUUCCGUCGACCCUUUCUUCUCCGGCAAGCGAAGGGUGCCGAAUGGGCCUGAUCCCAUUCACAACAGGUACUUCUAUCUAUAUCUGAAGUUUCAUAUGGUUCCUCGUAUUUUAUUUUUCCUUCUAGGUGUAUGUAACCUUUUUUAUCGUAUUUUAAUUUGCAUAAUUUCCAUUGUCUAUGUAUGAUUGGUAUGCAUGAAUUUAUUUACAACCAUUGUAUAUUUAUUAAGCAAAAGAAGGUAUUCAUCAGCUUCCAUGAGAGUUAGAGAUUUGCCAUUGUUAAUCAGAUGUUUUGGGAUUACAGGGCUCGAGACCUUUUUUCUUUCUUUGACCAUGGUGAACGAAUGCUAUCAUCUUGUUAGCCGACCUUUCUACUUGUUUCACUUCGACAUCAAUGCUUGAUGCCUCGAUAUGUAGAGUGGUGUUGUCAGCUUAAGAGCCAACAAAAUUUGGCUAGAGGAGCAUCCUGUUCUUCUUGUAUAGAAGCUUCCACUAGAUAACAUCAUAGAUCUCAUCUCAUGAAUCAUUAUUUUAAAUGAUUUGGUCCAUCUUUUUUGUCGUUUGUGUUUCUCCAAGGAGCCCGAGCACGACUGCCAUUCUUAGUUGUCGAGGACCAAUUAACUUUGUUUUAAGCCUGUGAGUUCAAAAUAAAAAGAAGAGAAAAGAAAAGGUGGUGGUCUCUCCGCACUUUAUUCAUCAUGUCCACAUUCCUUAAUCAUGCUCAUCCUCACAAACCGUUGCAACAAAAGCAAUCGGAUAUUGCGAACUGAGAAUUAUUUAUGCAAGCCACUUAUGAACGUCACGCAUCACAACAAAAUCAAGCUCAUGCAUGUAAAGCGUCGCGCAUCACAACAAAAUCUACUUGGGUCCCAUGAAACAGAGUGCAUAUGAGCUCACUUACUAAUUAUUAUUACUUAAAUCAAAAGUCUGAUGGUUUGAUAGGGUCACCUGAGCUUAAAGAAUUUGCGAGACCAUGUUGCGGCCUGUUGUUGUUGUUGCUCCAUGUCUGACCACCAUUCUAUGGAUGUGUUUCUCAGGAGAGCAGGGAAGUUGGGGCGGCCGCCGGGCAGAGCAUAGUAGUGCACCGAGGCAUUGAAGCAGCUUCGUUUGCGCAGAAGAUGGAUUGGGAGGGGGGGUGGCAUCUUGGAUGCAUGCAUGUAACUAUGAGUUGGGCUAUCUUUAAACACUCCUAGGAAAUUAGCCAAAAAAUCUUUGCUUUGCCAAAGUGCUCUGCUUUAUGAGGUGGUGUUGGUGGUGGGGGGUUCUCAAGAGUCUAAGCUUCCCUCGCACAAAAUACACAUUAGAUAUNNNNNNNNNNNNNNNNNNNNNNNNNNNNNNNNNNNNNNNNNNNNNUACGUUACGUUAGUAGUAGAGAGAGAGAGAGAGAGAGAGAGAGAGAGAGAGGGGAGGAGGAAGGGGCUGGUGAAGUAUAUGGGGAUCUUCCGCAUAUAGCAUCCAAGCAAACGGAUUGGUUUGCUAUAGAAGUAGAUGGAGCAAAGACCAAGAAAUGUUCUAGCAGCCAGCCACACCCACAAGGCGUGUGACAAAUGUUGUCAGUUGGGCUAUCCUUGCCGUGGUUUUUGGCUUCUUUUGUGACUGGUGCCCUCCAAGUAAAGCAAUCCCACCUAUUAAAGAGCCUUUUGAUUUGUUAUAAUCUCGCUUUAUCUUCUGCUUUCAUCUCUCUCUCUCUCUCUCUCUCUCUCUCUCUCUUUGAAAGUACUGUUUUGGAACGCUAGGUAGGUAGGACCGACCGGUCCAAGGUCCAUUCAAACUUGCUUAAAACAUGCAUGGGGACGCUUGUAGUCUCGUAGUAAUCGUCUUACAAGCAAACAACCGAAUAAUGCAAAGCAAAAAGAGAAGGGCCAAAGUGGGUAUGGCUUCUACCUUGCUUUUCCUUUUGUUUCUUUCUCUUUUUUGCUUCUUUUCUUGCACUAUUUUGAACGGACCGGACCGAGGUGCAAAGACCAGGUCUAAAGCAACAAAUCCCCGGACAAGAGUUGUUUCCACCCUCAGAGCUCCAGCUCUUGUGUCACCAUCUUUAACCCGGCCAGGGUAUUGUAGGUUCGUAACAGAUGGUCCCAAAUACUUUUCUAAGAGACCAAGACAGCUAGUUUUCUCUUUUGUUGAAUGAAGGUUAUCGGAUAAACGGGAACACACGUACAGGGCUGUUGGGUCCGACUCCAAAGCUGAAACUUACGUGGGUCCACCAAAACCAGCUUCAGAUUUUAAGUGGAGCCAACUUCGAUUCACUUGGUCGGCCAAGGAGCAUGUCACAGCCUGAAUCGUGUCAAAAGCGGAUUAAAAUUUGUCAUUUCACCUGCGAUCAUCUAGUUUUCUGGCAACAGAAAUGGGCUAGGCUCAGGUGGGGCCAAACUUAACCCUAUGUUUAGUAUCAAGGAUGAAUUGGAAGUUGGACGGAUAUAGCGCGAUGAAGAAGUUGGAUGGAUCUUUCAUCUAUCCUUUCGUAUGUUUACCUAAAAAUAUUUUUCUCUUCUAUUUGGAAUAGAAGGAAGGAUGAUAUCUGUAUGAUAUUUUUAUUAAAAUAUUCUUUGAUAAAAAAAAAGACAAAAAUCUCGUCUUUUGUCAAAAAAUUUAAUGAGCGAUAACUUUGUCGACAUAAAAACUUACCGCUUGCAUGCUCCAUCUAUCUUUUCGAUGAAUGGGCAAUCCCUUCUUUUCAUUAUUAGGAGGAUAGGGGUUAUUCAUCAUUCCAACCCCAUCCAUCCCAUACCAAACAUAGGAUUAUGGUUACCGUAAAGAAACAAAGUAAAGAUAACUAAGCAGAAUUAAAAACUAUUUAAGAUACCUAGUAAACAUUGCUCCUAAAGAUCGACCAAGGAUCCUUUGAAGAGCACUGCGAUCCAUUGAAAUCCAUCAACUCGUCACCGAUGAUCCCUGAACCACUUAAAAUUUUUUAAACUUGAGGGUGUCAAGUGAGACUGGCUCUAAGUUGAAGGGGGUAUCUAAGUAGUUCUCCAUUUCUUUAUGAAAAAAAGAAAGAAAGACAAGGUCUCUGAUUGCAUGGAACCAAUUUACUUUUGCCUAUUGAAAGAUGCAAGAUUAACUUUGUGAUUGGUGAAGAAGUUUCCAAAAUAGCGAUGCUAAUAUUAGUGAAAAUAAUGAAUUUACUGUACUAUAUAUAAAAGUGCUGGUGUUCUGAUUGUGGGCCCUCACGACCGUUAGAUUGGACUGUUUGAUGGUCCCUUUUAGCCAUGCAAAACAAAAUUUCCCAAAGUUAUCCAACUGCUUCCAUGUCUGAUCCCAGACCGACCAGGGCAUCAGAGACCAGGAAAGAACAGACAAAUUUUGAGCGCACAAUUCCCUCUGGACUUGCAGUAUUUUUCAAAGUCGUCAUCAUUUCCGUAAUUCCUCAUACCAUGCAUGGACUCUCCAUCGAUCUUGAGUGCAACCCUGUAUUUUUGACUAAUUAUUGGAUCUACCAACUGUAGAAACAGGAAGAUAUAGACCUCCAAGAAGAUUGCGACUUUGAGAGUAAAAUACAUGGAAAUUUCAUACAAGAACACCAAGAAGAUCUAAGUUCAGAAAUACUGAAUGAAUGGAGAAAAAAGAACAUUAAAAGACAAAGGAAAGGAAGAAAACAAGCUAAAACACAUACAGAGGAUUGCAAAUUGUUGAUCACUGCAAAAAUGACUAAGGUGUCCUCACAGGGCAAAUGUAGGUCGUGUGGGGCCAGGGGUUAGCAUAUAGCCUUCUAGAUCUUGGUUUGGAGGGUCACCACUCCUCAUCACUGGUUACAAACUAACAGAACUUGUCUUGCACUGCAGCUUAAAGUUUUCCUUGAUAGCCAGCUUAAUUGACUAAGCCUCAGGACUCAACAAAGAGUUGAAAUGCUUGUAGAAUAAUAAUUUAUGAAUAUAGACUGAAAUUCAAUAUUAAAUACUUCAAAUCAUACAACUGGAAAGGAGAACCUGAGCAAAUAAAGAGGUUCUUACAUUAUCAAAUUUGAGAAGAUAAAACUGCAAUUCAGAGGUCCACAUCCUCCGGCCAUCAACCAUACAAAAAGAUCAAGAAUUUAAAGAUUAAACAGAGUACUGCUACUGAUCAUCCAUCAGAUCACUGCUAAGUUCACUGGCUGAUGCGAUGGUCAGGAAUUGGUGCAGUUACCCCCUACAGCUCAGCUAAUCACCGAUCCAUAUCAGACUGGUGAACAGAGCGGUGAUCUGGCGGUUGAUCUUCAGUAUUUUUCUAAAAAAGAUAAUUUUCAAGUAAGUCAUGUUCUGUUACUCUUUAGACAGAAAGAUAAAAGAAAGAAAAACAUCUCUCUUUACAGAAUACAAACUCAGUAUUCAACUCAAUGAAAUACCAAAAACUUCCAAUCCUGGUCACAGGGUCACAGCUGAGCGCAAAGGGCAAAGCUCACCUGCUGGCCAUGUCUGGGACAAGAAAUUACUCUUUUUCAAGAUCAUGGAGAAUGGCUACAGGACUCUUAACUCUGAAAUACUUGCAAUCAGGUCUUCACCUGGAAAGGAAUCCAGAUAAAUGUGUUCCGAUUUACUUUGGACACUUAGGAGACCAUUUAGAACAAUCCUAAUGCAGCUAAAUGAUCUCAUAAGUUGCUAGUUACAAAUGAUAUGAGUGACCUGGAUGUUUCCAAAUACAAAGGGAGGCACAGUCUUAACUCAGUUACAAGAAAAAUGUGGAUUUGAUCUUAAAUUUUAACAGUUCUGUAUCCUAUCUAACGUACUGAAUUGAGGACUAGAACAAGGAGUUGUUAUACGGUAUGGCAUACUAGCCUAUGUUGUUGAGAAAUUACAUUGCAAAAUUUGAGAUACAAGAGAUGCCAUACUGCCCUCCUGUACCUGAUCGGUUGUCCAUAGUCAUUGCAACUUGCAACCACCACCGGAGGCAUUGGAAGUAACAAGAGUUGCAUUAUUUGUUAUUUGCAUGUAUACAGAAGCAGCUGAGCAGCUCUUCGAUCACCCACCNNNNNNNNNNNNNNNNNNNNNNNAUCUUCGGGAUGACCUACUGAGGGAGCUCUGAGGUCCAGCCACUGCCCCCUCUUCUGCAUUAGUUCCCUCCUUAUCAGCCGUGACCGAGAUGACGGCUCAUCUGAGGGAGGAGAUCUUCAAUGUCAGAAGCCUUAUAUAAGCCCAAUUCUCCAACAUGAGCGAUGUCACAAGCAACACACGGAAGAUGCGAGAUGACAUCCGACAUGACAUUGGCACUCAGAGUCAGGGGGCCGAGCGACUGGCGAAUGUAUUGAUCGCCAAGUUGGACAAACUUCAGGAGACUCUGACUGAGCUUUCCACGAUGCACUGUAGGGCCACCUCGGCGAUCAUCACACAGCUAGGGAACGUCACUGAUGGGGUCAGUCUACUCAUGGAACAAUCAAGACUGACCAAGGGAGCCACAUCCUCCUCGAGGAAGCCCAAGCUUAUUUUUUUUAUUUUGACAUGUAUUUACUGCUUUACUCUUUGUAUUCACAAAUGUACCUACACAUACAUCAAUCAAUGAGUAGACAAUUUUCUCAAUAUUGUGCAAAUUUCAUCUCUAAUUGNNNNNNNNNNNNNNNNNNNNNNNNNNNNNNNNNNNNNNNNNNNNNNNNNNNNNNNNNNNNNNNNNNNNNNNNNNNNNNNNNNNNNNNNNNNNNNNNNNNNNNNNNNNNNNNNNNNNNNNNNNNNNNNNNNNNNNNNNNNNNNNNNNNNNNNNNNNNNNNNNNNNNNNNNNNNNNNNNNNNNNNNNNNNNNNNNNNNNNNNNNNNNNNNNNNNNNNNNNNNNNNNNNNNNNNNNNNNNNNNNNNNNNNNNNNNNNNNNNNNNNNNNNNNNNNNNNNNNNNNNNNNNNNNNNNNNNNNNNNNNNNNNNNNNNNNNNNNNNNNNNNNNNNNNNNNNNNNNNNNNNNNNNNNNNNNNNNNNNNNNNNNNNNNNNNNNNNNNNNNNNNNNNNNNNNNNNNNNNNNNNNNNNNNNNNNNNNNNNNNNNNNNNNNNNNNNNNNNAAAGUCAUUCAGGAGCUGAUGACAAAUACAUUUAUCUAGUAGCAUCAAUGAUAAAGUUAUAUAAAUUUUAAGAACACCGAGAAGUUGCACCAAUACGAUUAGACUAGCUGACAACUGAAAGUUAGUAGAAUGCCUUCUUCACAUGUCUGCUUCUAAGAAAAAACAUAAAAAUUAAUAAAAAUCACAAAAGGUGUCAUUCUUCAGGCUGUAUCAAAUCAGUUUUAGAACAAACUGCAGGGUGUUGCUAAAUGAAGAAACAACAAAUGCAUGGAAAAUGGAUUAGUUAAUGACCUCUGAAGAAGAUGUUGCCACAAAAGGCUACAAAUGUGCAAGAAAAAUCUCAGUAUGAGAUAAAGAGAUUAAUAUAAUUCAGUUACAAAUGGAUGUGAAUGAAUAAUUUAAUCAAAGCUAUUCGAAAAACGUGCAUUGCAGUUUAUUGGAUGCAUCUCCAUUAGCUGAACACUAGCAACAUGGAUUUAAAAGCUAAACAUCAUGGUCCAAAAGAACAAAAAUGAAAUAAAAUAAAAUAAAAUGAUGUAACUUUACAUCAUAAGCAAACAAAAAUGCAUGUACUGGCAAAUAUAAUUACAAUUUUUUUACUUUCAAAGUAAAAGAACAAGUAAUGGGAACCAUCAACCAAGUUCUAGAUAUAACCAUGAAUGAGAUUUCACAAAUACAUGCUAUGUAGGGGUCACAUUUUAAUAGACUCGACUUUUCUUCUGAUUCAAAAGUAUUGACAGCAUUUACAGCCUCCAUCUGAUGCAAUGUUAUAACAUUAUGGUCCAGUUAGAACAAGGAAUGCAAGUUUACAUUGUACGCACAGACAGUUUAUGUGCUGACAUAAGUAAAUAAGAAAGCAAUAUUUUUUUUUAGAUUUUCAAAUUAAAAAAAAUAAUGGAAAGUUAAAGAUAGAACACAAGUUCUAGAGACCACAUGGAUGAAUGUCACAGCCCAUAUGCUAUGUAGGGGCAACAUAAAACUUGACUUUGUUCUUUUCAUUCCCUGGUUCAAACAUAUUAAUGGCCAUAAGAGCCCAAUUGUCUGCAUCCAUAUGGAGACAUUUCUUGAAUUUUGUUCCAUUCACAGGUGCUAAUCUUGCAUACCAACCGUGUACCAUUCAUGAGCCAGUACAAUAGGGGCAGGCAAACUUGUUAGGCGAACCAAGACUGCAUCAUGCCAGAUCAUGCCAUAUCAAGCUGUAUCAAGGCAUACGGAGCUACAUCAAGGAUUCUACCAUACAAACCAACCAUCAGCUACGUACAAUACUUUGAGAUUUGAUAUCUUGGUUUCAUUUUCUAUAUCUAUGACCAUUAGUGAAUCAAUGAAGACUCCUACUAGCCCAUAACUUUUUCAACUUACGGAUGCACAAUAAGCAUCUUCCUAGAACAUCGUAGCUUGCUUUAUUUUUAUAAGCUAUAAAAUGAGGAUGCAUAAAGUUAACCUCAAAUAGUAGUAAAAGGUUGAUGGUUAUGGUUAUUGAUGGAGGACAAAUCACAUAAAUAUCAGCAAAAUCUUAAGUCACAGCUUCAACCAUUGUGCGAGACCUCAUUGUUAAAAUAACCCAAUUAAUAGCAUCUGAGAUUUAACACAGUGUUUGAAGCAUGUGGUAAACACCCAUAUCCAUAUGCUAAAUGGUGAUGAAGCAACACUUAAGCCAAAAGUGAUAAUGAGUCAUGAAAUACAUAAGUACAGCCAUGCAACUAUUCAGAUCCAACAGCCAGAAACUAGAAAAUAAUUCUUAGAGUGGUAUGGCCAGGAUCCAUAUCAAGCAUCUUGCAAUGUUGGCAAUGCUGCCAUUUAUCCUGCUGCGUGCCCAGAUAAAGAAUUUUACAGCCUACUAACUUACAAAUUCAUGUUGCAAAUCUCUCCUACAUGAGCAGUUAACAUACUUACCACAGAAAAGUUUGCUCAUACAGAUGCAGCAGCAUAUAGAAUUACACUCUUUCCCCAUCUCAACUUUGUCAGUUUUCGGGUUUUGCAAUGUUGCCAUACACAACAUGGUGGUGAUGUUAAGGUCCAUCUCCAUCAUAACAUAAUUAUUAGCAAACUUGCAUGCUUUGCACUAGCAAUAACAUAUAAAAAUACUCCCUUCCCUGCAUCGACAUAUUUGUUUUUGCAGUUUUUUAUUGUUUCACGUCCUAUCAUGGUGACAAGCACAAGUACACCUCCACCAUAACAUAAUAAUUAGCAAAUAUAUUGUUACAACUUCAUAUGAUAGUACGCAUACAAAGACACAAAAACCAAAUCAAAGUUGUAAACACAUUUAGCUAAAAGAAGUUGUGCGUCAUGACUACCUGCAUAUAAUACAUUAGCAGCCCUAUGGAUAUUAUUAACUAGUAGUCAAGUAAUGACAGGUUAACAUCUUGUUGGUGAAGUGAAUACUUAAAACCAGACAACUUGUAAUUUUUUUUAACUAAUAUAACAAUUUUUUAGUUAAGAAUCAACUGUUAAUCCACCAUGUACAAAGUCAAUGAGUUUUCUGGGCACACUUGGAUAAGUUCAAAAAUUAAAAAGCAUAUUCAUGAAUUCCAAUUUAUAAGUUUCAUUUUCAUCGAGAGGUGCAUGACAGCAAGGGACAUCAAUACAGAGAUACUUACACCAACAUCUAAGCAUUGUAGGAACCAUAUAAUGGAAAGAAACAUGUAUGAUCUAUUGGCUACUCACAAAUAACACAUCCCAAUAAUAUGCCAAAACAGAAGAGACAUUAAACUUAAAGAAGCAGAUUCCAGUCAGCAUAGUUUUGUAUGAAAAGUGUUGAAAAACCUAUAACUGAGACUAAGCAAAGACAAGUAAUUACCAGAUACAGGAAAAACAAGAAUGAGAUCAUAUUGCUUUUCCAUUAGCAGUUAUGCAGAACCUUUAUAUAAACUUAUCAGGAUACCUAAGGGAUUCUUAAGUAGACCGAUCAACGUAUUUAUAACAGUUAGUACGGAACACAUACCUCAUAUGUCACAGCCCACUUCCCUUUUCGCAGAGGCUUGUGGUGGUAAUUUAUAUUCCCCAUAUACAGGCUUCUGCCACUUGGGAUUUUCUUGACUACAUCCAUCACUGCAUUAACUCUAAUAAAGGUAUCAUCAUCGCACUUCAUUAUGUACUUUGCAGAAACUGCAUGAACCUGCAUGUGUGUUGGGGGGGGGGGGGUGGGGGGGUGUGGAAGAUCAGCUAAUAACCUAACUGAGCACUCAUUUAAGAAAGAAAGUUUCAAUAAUAAAUACCCCAUAAUGGCAUAUGGCAACAGUCUUCAAAACGACAAGAUCAUAGCUAUCCAUAUAAGGCACUAUAACAAUGUCACGAAAAAACUCUGCCUCUUUCUUCAACUCCAUAUUCACGUCCCUUCUUCCGUUCUGUCAGAAAAAGUUCCAACUAAUUAGUGUUUCUAAAACAGAAACAGAUUAGUGAAAAAUAUUGCAUAACUGACAGGUUUUUAAUUUACCAGAGCAACAAAAAAUCGAGCAACCAUGUUUGAUGAUUUUCUAAUGGCAGACAUCCAUGACUUCCUCACAGCCAUACGCUCUGCAAAAUGGUUGCCUGCUGAAAGGAUGCCAAUAAACAGUUCAACAGGUCCCUCGGGAAGUGGAAGGGCCCGCCAUUCAGCCAACCACUCCAAAUGCCUUGGCGGAGCAUCAAUAGGACGCAAUGUAGGCAAUGCACCAGCAAAUACAGAUUCAAUGCUGAGGUCGCCACUCAAUGACAGACCAGUUGCAUCUUCAAGAACGAACCCCUGUGUCCAAUAGCAUAGAACACAAAAUAACAACUAUUGCACCUUGUUAAAGCAAAAUAACAUCAAAUGCAGUGGAUUUUGAAAGCACAACUUACGGUGCGAUAAGGGAAAGAAGUUACAUGCCUCCCAUCAACAUUGACAUGAAAACCUUCAAAACCAGCACUAAGAGUAAGAACAAACAACUUAUCUUCUACAAAUGGGUACGGCCAAUCCAUGGAAACCAUCUUUGUCCGACCAAUCAAACGGUUUAACCACCAUGUUUUCAUCGACUCCUCUGACCGGUCAUCACCAUCGCGGAUCCACUUUUCACACUUCACCAGUCCAUCAACUGUAAAGACAGCAACUUAGAUGUUUCCAAUGUUUUGAUAGGAAAUGUAUAUGACAUCCCAUGAUAAUUGCAAAAUCAAAACUCCCUAUUCUCCAGAAGAAAGGGAUUCGUUUUUCUUCAAGAAACCAAAUCAGGGAUUUACUCAAGUAGAUUUUUCUUCGCAAAUCAUUCAACAAGAUAAUGAAACUUGAUACUGCUUGCAGUGACAGUCCCCACAUUGAACUCAAAUAUAUAUAUAUAUAUAUAUAAAGGUGGAAAUAAAAGUGGGCAUUUCAGAAAUUCGCUAGGGAAAUAUUUCAAGCCAUCUUCAAAAAUUUUGAAACUUAAAAUUGCCACUCUGACUGAAGAAAAAUGAUCACUUUCUUCUUCAAAAAGCAAAUAUGGAAGUUUAGAUUGAACAAAGAUUUGGAUAUUUUUUUCUAGAAAUUAGAAUCUUUUUUUUUGGUACAUAGAAAUUAGAAUCUUCAGUGUGUGAUAUAAAGUAGCAUUCAACAAUUGGACUCUAAAAGUAGCUAAAAAUGAAGGUUCGCUAACGUACCAGUCUCCUCAUCGUCCCUGGGCUUCCACCCCUCGCAGCGCUGAGCCGCACCCCACUGCAUGCGGUAGCAAGUGUUCUGCUCUAUCACCGGCUUCCCGCUCCAGUCCCCCUUCAACCGGGGGUUGAAGUGGAGGAUCCUCGGCGGUUCCUCGCCGUCGACCGUUUUCAGCCCCUGCAGCUCCAUCAUGAACUGCGACACCAUGAUCGCUUGAUCUCCUUCCUUCAGCAUCGUUAUCUUGGGGUCAUAAUCCGGGUGGGCCGGACGCGGCUUCGCCACCAGAGUGAUUUGGGAUCCCAGCGUCAGCCCACAGGGGAGCAGCAUCACCCUCCCCCUCUCCCGGAACUCGGCCCCUGUCAGUAUGAUCGAGUGCGAGCAGCUCUCUUCCGUCCGAUUCUCCUCCGGCGACGCUAGCGGCGCUAACAAAGGCGCCGACUUUAGCUCAUUCAACAGCUUCCACCCGAGCUCCCAUGCGCCCCUCGCAGACUUGUGCAGCUCCGAGAUAGGGCCGCGGCCGGUGGCGUUGGGUUCCACGAAGUUGAGGCUUGAGACGAUAAGAGUCCGGCGGCGCCGCCGGAGAUUGUGGGGCGGAUGGGGAACGGAGGAGGACUGGGGGAGCCUGAAGGGGCCCUUGGACGGUCUUGCGGGUGCGAACCUCUUCUCCGUCGCCUCCUCGCUGUCGAGGUGGAGAACACGCGUCAUAGCGUCCCCAACGCCCAUGACAACUCCGCCGCCGCCGCCGCCGGAGAAGGCGAUCCGGCGGGUGAGGAAGGGGAACUCAAACAAGAAGACGAAAGAAACAUAGACAAGCGCCAGGGCGAGGAAGGCUUGGAGCGAUCGCUGCCGGCUGAGGGAGAGCACCACGUCCAGCUUCGAUCUCCUCAUCGUCCCCGCUGCCGCUCCUUCCCCCUCGGAUCAAACAAUCGGGGAUCGGGGGAAGAAGUCGGAGCCCCCAGCCGAUCCCAAACCCUAAGCCUGACCAAAUUCCGAUCGAAUUCAGCGAAUGAGAUAAUCGAGGGGAGACGAGACGAGAGACUUCCAAAGAUCAACGAAGCGGAGAGGGGGGAAAAGAAAGCCAGCCGGUUUAAAAAGUCGGCCUUUUAAACUUAUUUCUUAUUUAUAAUAAAUAUUUUGAAGUGAAUAAAUUCGACGAUGAAGGAAACAAGGAAGAAGAGUCUUGCCGGGCGCUUGGCAGACGAAAACGAAGACAUGAACGGAGACGACACCGACCGUUGGAUCACACCAUCUGCCGGCCAGCACUGGACGGUAUUUAUUUUCCAAUCAAGCCUCUUAAAACUUAUGACACGUGCCCACCUACAAUUAUUUAAUUAUAAAAUUUGUUAUUAAGAUAGUCAGAGUUUAUCAUGUACACGUUGGGCACGUAACGGAAAGAGCUACGAGUGCCACCUUGGAAAACCAGUCACCGUGCAUUGAGGAGGAGUUGAGGCAUAUAAUGGAUUUAUCCGAUGGACAUCAAAAGGGACAUCUGUGGAGUUAUAAUAAGGGUUUUUUUUUGUGUAACUAUUUUUUAAAAUAUUAAAUUUUAUAUAAAUAUUUUUUAAAAAUUGAUAUUUGUAUUCGUAAAAAAAUUAUAUAAAUAUUUUUUUGAAUAUUUUUAGGAUCAAUGCACAAUUUUUCUUUGAAUCAAUAAAAAAUAUCACAAAAUCAAUUUACAAUGAUAAAACAAAUUGAGAAAGAAUUGAUGAAAUAGAUCAAAAUACAAUAAACUUUAUUUCGACUAUAAAAAAAUUGGGUUAUUCGAUAGACGUGCAAAAAAUAAAUAUUUAUAAGAUGAUCGCGAUGAAAAAAAUAAAUUUAAAAUUUUAUUUUAUUUUUAAUUAAAAUAAAUAUGGUUUUUAUUAGCAGUAUUAGAAGAACUGUAGACAUUUGUGCAAAAAUAGUAUUUUAUGAGAAUAGAAAAAUAAAUAUAAAUUUUAAGAGAUUAUUUAGGUAAAUUUAAAUUUUUUAAAAGAGUAUUUAGGUAAAAAAAACUCUUAUAAUAAAUUAAUAACUUAAAAAAUAUUUUUAGGGGAUUGAGAGAAAUAGAUAUUGAGGACGGAUUAUUUUGACUAGAUAAUUAGACAAUUAAUUAAUCGGAAGAGGAACAAAUGGCAUGCAAGAGAUGUGGGAAAUUCAUGAUGUAUUGUUCAGGAGCCGAUCCAAAUAAAUUGAAAUUAAAAUCGAAUUCGAAAUAAAAACUAUAAUUAAAAUAAAAUUUAAAUAAUGUAAAAAAUAGAAAUUGGGUUUUAAAAAAUUAAGAUAUUUUUUAUUUUUUCUCAAAAUAGGAAUGAAAUCUUUAUAUAUUUCUAUUUCAGAAUUUAACUUUUUUUCAACAAAAUAUGUCGUUAACGUAGGCAACAUCCUUAUCAUCAGUUAUGGGAUUUCCUUUCGUGCGUUUGUGAGCGGCCCGCUUAUGAAUAUAGGGGAGGUGGUGGGUGGAGGUGGCCGCCAAAACUUUUUCAAAGGCUGUCGGCCUUUUGUGGCCACCAUCGCCAGUUUCCGUUUAUACCCUCCUGUUAUAGUUUGCAAAAAAUAAAUUGGUAGCAAGAUUUUCAUCCUGGUCAAAAUAUUUAUCUUAAGCAUUUAUUAAUACAAUAUAAUGAACAUUUUUGCUAAUAUUAUUUAACUAAUAUAAAUCAGAAUAUCUUGAAUAUUUAUCUUAAUUUCUAGAAUAUUAGCUACCACCUCAGAUUUCUUGUUUCUUUUUUUUUUUAAAUCCAUGCAUCCAUGUAUCUUUAGAUCUUAUGGAGAUCUUGAUCUGUGACAUUCUUAUUUAAAAACAUUGCAUUUUAAUAAGACACUCCAAAACAGAUAAUUCAUGGUAGUUGUCAAUGGUAUUAUGCAAUAUGUCUUUUAAAUAAAUAAAUAAAUAAACUCUUUUUUCUCAUAGAGUUAUGCUUGUUUGUGUAAUUUCUUUGUUAUUGAUUCAAUGAUCUUAACCUAAUUUAAAAAAAUAAUAAAUAAAAAUCAUAUGUGGGGUGCUACUUUUUUUUGAUAGGCAAAUUGUUUAUGAUUACUUUAAUAAAGCUUGUAAAUCUUGAUAUGGAUCAUCAUUCAUGGUAUUCUAAGUAGUAUCUAUUUACACAAAAAAGUUAUAUAUCUUAUGACACAUCCUUAUUCCAUGAUAUUUUAUAUUUUAUGUUAAAACCUUAGAUCAAUCCUUAUCAUGUUAAGUUAUACUCACAUUAUGACCCUUUAUACUGGAUGGUUACUCAUAUAUUUUUAUGAAGUAUCCUCUUGUGCCAUAACUACUUGGACGCAAAUUUAUGAGAUACAUGUCCAGCGCUGUCUCUAUAUUUACCAACGUUAUCACGCAUGCAGCCGAUCACAAUCGUUAACGAUGCAUUAAGAUGAACGCUGGAGAAGUAAGACCUAUAAAAGUCACAAUCAUGAUUGGCUCCGUAUAUGGCCACGUGGCACACGGAUAAUAACUUCUCGUAUCACCACAAGCUCUACUCGCCAUUUGUGCAGUACACGGUCGCAUCUCUCGCCUAUCUUUCUCUCUCUCGGCUCCCUUCUCAAUGGCUUAUCCGCCAUGGUUCACUCUCCUCGUCCUCCACUGCUUCUUCUUCGGCAGUUCUCUCUGUCACCGUCUCGGGUCCGCUUCCCACCAUCCCAUUAAUACUCACCCAGAGCACACCCUUCAUCUAUUUCUCUCUCACUGACUCCGUUCCUUGUCGAAUUCAGUGCAGACAUUAAGGCAUUGGCCGUCGGAGACGAGAUAAAGGAGGAAUCUCUGCCUCUAAACAUGGGCCAGCGCAUUUACGAGCUACAGGGACUCAAAGAAUCCGCUUGGUAUGAAGCCAAGAUAUCUUACCCGGCUUCUGUAUGAUCCUUUUCCCCAAAGACUUCUUAGUUCCCAUUUUUCAGUGUCUUGAACGAUAUUGACGUUGUGGUAAAACUGGUGAUGAUAGAUACCUGCUAGAUUCUCUAUUCAUCUGGAGACGGCUGCGCUGGAGGUUUGGCUGAGCAAGAAUCGGAGAUUGCUCAAUACCGAGAAGAUAAUUUUCAAGCCCGGCAAGCGUAAGCCGGUCGGUGUUCGGUUUUUGUAGAUGAUUUGAUGUGUCUGGUUUGUGGUGGAAUGAUUGGAGUGUUUAUGAUUUCUUUUUAGGUGUAUGUUGUUGUGACUGUGGAGGCUGAGGGGGUUGUCGCGAAGCCAAAUGUGAAGGAGAGGGAACUGGUGGUGUUCAACAUUGGUAAGUGGUGGAUUGCUCCUGUUUUUGUGCAUGUACGUGUUUGUUCCUGCUUGCUUGCUUGCUUUCUUUUGCUUUAUUGUCGAAAAUAUGAGUGUGCGCGUGAUCUCAGACCUGACAAGGCAAUGAUCAUAUAAAAUAUUCUCGACCUGUAUGCGAUUCUUGUUAUUCGUAUCGUUACAUGUGUUCUCUUACUUCGAUGAAAGAUAAAAGUGCUCGGGCUAAUUUAAAUGAGAUGAGAGUUUUCAAAAGAACCUCCUGUCCUAUGGAUUUUGAGAGAUGAGCAAGAUGUUGUCAAUGUCAGUUAUCUUGUAGAGACUUAUCGGAGAUACCUAACUAAUUUAAAUUAGAGAACCUUUCUGAGAAAGAGCUGAAUCUUGGUUCUUUGUAGUGUCAGAGAAUGCUAGUGAAAUGUUUUGGUUUUUUGAACUUUGGACAGCCCUUUAGGAUCUACUUGAUCUGUUUUUGUUUUCUUGUCUCCCCUUUUUGUCAGAAUAAAUGAACUUUUAGAGACUUAAAUCUCAAAGUUCUCUCUUGCUUUUCCAUGUCUAGUGAUCACCAUGUCUCUAGCACCAAUAGUGUGUCGUUGGAAAAGCUGGUCAUGCAAGCAUGCAUCUUUUCCUUCUAUGCUUUCGCCGACUAUUGAUAUUACUGCUUUUCUUGCCUUUUCUUAUAAUAUAACAUGCCUAGACAUCAAUUUUCAUGCAACAAUCUAAGAGGGCAAUCUUUAGAGCAUUCAGGGGAAAAAGAUGUUUAACUUACUUCCUUUAUUUCGCAUGUUUCUAAUUCUUUCAAAGGCUGUAUGGCAUUGACCUUGGAAAUGAAGGCUUUGCAAUUUCCUUGAAAUUCAUGGGGUUAUCUUUAAAAAAUAGUUGCAAAGCUUGCAUUAUUGGCUAACCCCUUCCAAGUGAUUAUGUCUAAUUAUCGGAAUCCCCCUCAAAAGAAAGGAAAAUAAAUCUAGUUCAAAGUGUUGACUCAACAUGAAAAUUUUGUACAAUGAAAUUUUUCUUGGUCAAUAUGAGAUCCUAAGCAUAAAGCUGAUGAACCUUUUUGACAUACCAUGUAUUACUGACUGAAUAAAAGAAUUGUGGGCAAAAAGAAGAAGAAGAAGAAAAGAUAAAAAUGAGGUAUACUGCAGAAGGGGCAUUUUAAUUAUGAAAUGGUGAAAAAUUGAUUUUGUUCUUGAACAAGUAUAUGAACAUUUUUAUUUUGUCCAAUGCAGUUUCAACAGUUUUAUUUUGUCCAAUGUGGUUUUUGUGAUCAAGACGGUCUUAUUUCCGGGAUAAUAUAUUUACAUAGAUGUUUAUUUCUGGUAAGAAGGGUGAAUUAUAUAUUAUGUAGGUUGCUAGUUAGCUUAAACUCUGUUAUUGUCUAUCAGUCUUCAAAUAAUAGUGUCAUUAUUUUCUUUAUUGCUCUUCUCCAGUACAGAAACAAGGUGAGUUUGGCAUGAGACUAUAGAAUGUGUGAACACGAAUGCAUGAUGAAGAUUAAGAAUUCACAAAUCAAAGCAUCAAAACUCAAAUUCCUUUUGUACUAAUCAUAGGAGGAAUUUUAAAAAAUGUUGAAAUGAUAAAAUGGUGAUAUUUGUCACAUGGAAAACACGACAAGUAGAGGAAGUUUUCAACAUUUUGUCAGUACAUAAUUGCCAUAAAAUUUGCUAUAUAUUUAAUUCAUAGUAAGAAUGAGACUUUAGACAAUUUCCAAUCUAAAAGGCUUGAGUAUGGACUAGCAAAGUAGAAAUAUCAUGAGUUUCUAUUCUAAUAGGGGAAUGCAUGUCAAUAAACGCCAUCCUUUGUAAGGACUUUAGCAUGACCUGUGAAACGAUAGCUUAUUUAUGCACCCUAAUCUAACGUGGUUGCCGAGAGGGAAAUCACAUUUUUAGGACAGAACAAACCAUGUCAGACAAUAAAUUCAGAAAGUAGAGGAAACUCAAUCUAAGCUUCUUAAGGAGCAGUUUGGUCCAGAUUGAUGUUCCACCAGCCCAAAGUAAGAAUCAAGUCCUCAACUGUGUAUGCGUAUUUUAUGCUUUGCCUAAAAUAUUUCAGCUUGUAAAAUGUAAGAUAGAUCAAUAUGACAUUAGUAUCAAGAGGUGCAAUAUUCUUUGAUAUGAUAUGAUGGUUAAGAUGGAUAAAGUACUUCAAAUGAAAAAUACUCUUCCAGUUUUUCCAACUAUUUGAUUGGAAAUGGACCCAUAAUUUACAUGGAUGUUGAAUCCUUGAGUCUUCUGAGGACACCAACUUUUGGAAGGUCGCCACCAAAGGAGUUGCAUAUUUUAAAAGAAGUUUCAUUGGAUUUACCUCCUGUAUAUGACUAAGGGGUGAAAAUAGAUAUUGUAAAAUAUUGAGAACAUUGGGUUUGAUGAAAAUUACAUGGCUUGAUCACCUACUUGGGGGUUUAGGGAGUACGAAAGCAUUAACCCUUAUGAUACUUAUUGUCCUGUUAUCAGGAGAACCACUAUUUAUGUGUUAAUUAUGUUCACCCCCAUCUGUCACCUCAGGAUCCAUAAAAUGGAUGAAAAGACUGCAUUUCCUAGAGAGUAGGUUGAAGAAAGCUACAUUAGCCUAAAAGUUUUUUUUUUUUAAUACUUGGCCAGGAAUAUAAAGUAUUUAGAUUAAUGAAAUUCCUACACAUACUUAAGCAAACACUCAAACAAUGGCUUAAGAAAUUUGAACAAGUAGUACUGUCUCAUGGAUGUCUAGUGGAUGAAUCUUAUAUCCUUCAUAUACAGUUAGGUUCUGAAUUGUGAAACUAUGGUUCUUUGUUUAUAUUUAUAUAAUCCUGUAAAACUGGGGCAAACACAAAGGAAUAUACCAGUAAGGAAUCUAAAGUCAUUUUAACAUGAAAAAUUUGAUUAUAGUAUGUGUGAUACUAAUAAUCAAUUUGAAGAAUAACAUCCAAGAAAUCGGGCCGCAAAGAGAAGGCUAUUAAAAUAAUCUGUAACUUGAUCGUACCAUGUAAGAUCCUAGUAUCAAAAUAGUGAAAAUCAAUGCAGCACUACUGCAUGACUCUCAAAUUAUGGAACAUCCGAUGCACUCUAUAAUAUUCAAUCUUCCAAAUACUGUCCUAUUUGGAAGACUUUAAUAUUUACACUAAUCGGUCUGACUGUUGUCACUUGAAUUCUCUAAUGAGAUACUCAGAAAAGAAGGGAUAUGCUUUACUGAGCUUCAAGGGUAAAGUAGUACAGAUUUGAACCAAGAUAGUGAUGAAACCAAAGCAAUCAGCAGGCUUGUAUUUGAAGAAAAACUUUCUUACUCUACGUGAUGGAGGAAAACCUAGGUGCUUCGAAGGUGGUUCGAGGGCCACCUGAUUUGCUCAGUAAUCAUAAACUAUUAUUUAUUGGACAUGCCAAUGCCAGCUAUAUCUGUUUAUAAGCAACUGAGCUACGACAUAUAGGUUCAUGAAUGAAUAACAUGAUGUAAAGCUUAAGGCACAUGCCUAAGGUUAAAAUGAUAACAAAACUAGCACAAAUGUUCUUUAGAGUUAAUUGAAUCUGAAAAUAUUGCUGAUACUUUUAUGAAGAGACUAGUGUAUAGGCUUGUAAUCAAUCUCAUCAAGGGUUAUGUCGCUAAAGCCACAAGUCUUGCAGUCUUCAGUGGCAAAGUAACUUGACUGAUUAAGAAUCCUGUGAAGUUUGUUCAAUGUGUAAAAUGAUAGGACGAUCAAGAGGAACUGAACUUGAAAGUAUUUUUGUAACCCAUCCAUAUAAAUGACGAUAAACAGCAACAAUAAUUGGAAGGAACAGCAAUGCUUCAUAAUUUAUAUUAGUUUAUAACAGCUGAGAAGGGUAUGGUAUUUAAAAUAGUCUUUCAUUUUUUCAGCUAUUCCAGGCUUUCCAGCAAAGAUAUCAUUCUCAAAUCACUCAUGUAGUGCAGAUGAAGCUGGUGAUGUCCGGUGAUACUUUGGCCUUCAUUGCUUGGUGUGUAUGUAAUUUCCAAUAAACAAGGCGUUCUUGGUUGAUUUCAUUUACUUAUUAGCAAAGGAGAAAGUGGAUAGCAAUUAAGAGGAAUCAAGAAACUCCAAUGGGAUGCAGAUCAAAUUCUGGUUAUAAAAUUAUGUGCUUUUGGAAGAAAAGAGAAUGCACACUAGUGUGUGUGCAUCUACAGGGAGCACGAGACAAAUAAGACACUGAUGAUCGUAGACGUCAUCAGAAGAUGCAGUUGGCUCAAUAAGUUCUUUCUGUUGUUAAAACAGUAGAACAAUCUUUUCUUGAUCUUUGAAAAGGUCUUUCCUACAGUUGGGGGUGAACACACAGUUCCAGCAGACAACUGUUUCCAAAUGUUUUUUAGUGUAAAAUAUUAGUUACUAACUCACUAUACGCUGAGCCACCAUUUACGUAAUGCCAAUUUAGGUGGGUGUCAAGUCUGUUCUGGAUAUUGACUCGUGGGUAUAGCAGGCAAAGGGCACCAGAGACGCGCCUUUUCUGCAAUUUGAACAAAGAGCGAUAUUUCCUGGCUGAAUGCAGAUAGAGAGCCAUUGGAAUCUAGGAAAUAUGACCUUAACUGUUUUUUUAUCCAUAAGAUCACCUCUCUUGAUGUCUCUGUACUAAUUGCAGGAUUGCUCUUUUUUUUUUUUCUAGGGUAUCAGCAUUGAGAAAUCACCAUUUAUAACCAUGCAUUUUCUUGUUUUUAUUGUUGUUAUAUUAUUCUUUUCUUUUCACAGUAUGUGAUGAGUUGAUGCUUGGGAUUCCGCGUGAUGCUUGGUGGGUAGGAAUUGCAGGUCUCCUCUGUUUGGUGCUGGCAUUGGUUAUUCCAUCUUUCCUCCCACCACAUCUGUUGCUGAAAAAUGCAAGCUCACUAUCAAGUAGUGCGCCUGCAGCAAAGAUUUCAUGAAUGAGGUGGUGUUAUUGGAAGCUUAGAAUAUCAUUCACCUGUCCCAUAAAAUUCAUCCAUCUUCUUUUGUUUUGUAAUUCUUUAUGAUAUUCUGGUGUAGAAUUCUUUACGAUAUUCAACGCAUAUUUUCAAUGUCAGGAAAUGUAUUUGGAUUCUAUGCAUUACAGCUUCCAAGAUUCAUGUGAAAAUCGUGUUACUGCAAGAGGAAAGGAUUUAGCCGAGAUCUUUCUUGAGAAAUCGUUAAAUAGAUGAGGAUAUUGAUCAAAUACAAGAACAAAAUAAUUGAAUUCCUUUUAUUACUAUGCGAAUAAUUUGUUAUUGCAUUUUAAUAAAGUUUAUUCUUUUAAUUUUUAGACUUAACAUACUUGCAUGUGAUUGUAAAAUAAUUUUUGUCAAAUUUUAUUUCUAGUUUUGUCCAAUAAAAGUUACCAUUUUCUCAUUAAUUUUGUUUUAAAUUUCAAUCCUUAUUCAAGAUUCUUUCCUAUUGACAAAAAUUGUAAAAUGACCAACCUUACCUGUACCUUGACAAUGCUCUCCAAUAAGCACUAGUAACCAUCUAUCUCUAAUACUAACCAUGAACCAAUUCCAAACAUAAGGGAUGUGAUGGUAAAAACUCUAAAUUAGAACAAAGAUACAAUUAUUAUAACUUAGAAGUACAACACGGUGCUCUUGUGCGAAACUAUAUGUUUGAUGUUAAUCAUAUGCAUUUCAACUGCAAAAGUUAUCAUUUUUGUUCCAUUAAUUUUCUUUUGAAAUUUUCUUACUAAACCAAUCAAUUUGCUCUUAACGACAAAAAGCAAAACGACAUUCUAUUAAAAAAAAAAAAAGAAGAGUAAAAGACAAACUCUUCACCCACAUUAUUGGCAACGCUCUCCAAUUAGUGAGUAAAGCAAGCUAUACCACUUACCUACUAGAGGUUUAGCCUCAUAUAAGGAUGUUGAUAUAUAAAAGCCUUAACUCAAAAUCAAUAUAUCAUGCAUUGCAUAGUGAUCAUCAUAAUAACUUUCUCUAUUAUUAUUGCAAAUUAUAAAGAACAAAAUUGGAAAUUUUCCUUAGGUGCAAGUUGAAAUAAUUUUCUUGUACAAAAUGCGAAGAGCAAGAAUAAGGUUCAUCACAUCUUCCUUAAUCAAGGGUUGUUCUUGGUCUUGAACCUUGGCUACAAUAUCCAUCAUUCUUCUUGAACUAGAUGAACCCAUGAACCCAUAUCUUCUUUCACAAUUAGGAAAUAAGGUAAGAAAAAACGGAAAAACAAGUAACGGCUCAUAGUUAUCUUAUAAAUAGAGGAGAGAGCGAGCGAGCGAGCGACUCUCGUCAGUCCCAAACCCAGAAGAAGAAACUCUCCCAGCGGCGCCCCUUCUCGGCUUCUCCGACCUUCGGAAUCGAAUCGCACCGCGCCCCUCUCUUCUUCAAAACCCUAACCUUUCUCCUAUCUUCUCCUCCCCAUUCCUCAUCCCAAUCCUCGAAUCCCGUCUCCCGGCCUCUCUCUAUUGCUUCUCCAAGGGUUUCGAUCGAGCGAUCGAUCGCGGGGGAAUACGAGAUAGAGGUCUUCUGUGCUGGGGUUUAUCCAAAGUGGGAGUUUUAUUUUUUCUUGGUUUUCUUCGCAUUCGAGCCGUUUGAUUCUAGGGUUUAUAUUGGGGAGGUCAACCCUGGCGGAUUCCACGGUCGGGUGAUGGCGGAUCCACGCCGCUUCCGCCCCCGGUCUGGUGAUAAUCUUGGAUUCGUGGAGUCGGCGUCGGAGGAGGCUCUUGGGCUAGGGUUAGGGUUUGGGCUUAGGAGCGAGGGAUUUGAGGAUUGGAAAGCAUGCUGAGCGUGCUGCGAGUCCAUCUGCCUUCGGAGAUCCCCGUCGUUGGCUGCGAGAUCACGCCCUAUGUGCUCUUGAGGCGCCCGGACAACUCCAUCUCCAACGAGGAUGUCCCCGAGUCCGCCCCCAUCAACGGCUACUGCAUGAGGUAUAAGUGGUGAGUUUUACCUCUCUCACACUCCAUAUUCCUUUCUUGAUCUUGGUUUCAUAUGUUUCUUGAUUCGACUGUGGUUCUUCUCUGCCAAGAUUUAUUUUUUGCUUCAGAUAUUGCUCUCCUUUCGUUACCAUUAUGCUUGGUUUGUUAAUUUCUCUAUUAUUGCAAUCCUCCCUCCCUCAGGGGAUGGCGGCUUAAAUUUUAAUAUUGUGAUAGUACUGCUUAUCUUCUGUCGCUAGUUGGGUUCGAUAAUAUUAAUGCCUGGAAAUAAUGGUUUCUUGAACUUGUUCAUGUAUUUUCUUUUUUAACUUAUGGACUGGUGCUGGGGCUUAAUGGUAGGAUUUCAUCUUGAUGCCGUACUUUCUCGUGUGCUUACUUCUUUGGACACUUCUGUGAGUUUAACAAUUGUUUGAAUGAAAUUUAUUACAGAAAAGUGUGGUAUGAUUUUUUGCAUUGCCCAAAUAAAGGUCAUUGUUUUGUGAAGUUGGGUAUUGUAGGUUUGCUGAUGGAUUAUGUUGUCUGUGAAGAGGUUUUAUUAUUCAAACUUACUAGAGAAAGCAUUGUGUAAUGCCAUAAAGGACAAGGAUUUCAUAGAAUCAACAUAAUAUGAGCCAGCGCCUUCUAUUGCGCAUUUGAAAUACUAUGUUUUAAUAAAAGUGUCACCUUUAUGUUAUUCAUUCACUUUAUUGCUAGUAAUUAGGUCUGAUCUUUAAGAAAUUAUCACGUGAUAACCUUAAUGCAAGUAAAAUUGAAUAAAUUUCUGUUUCUUUGACAAAAUUCCUGCUACCCCUCGUGCAAGUAAGUUGAUGAAAUAUUAUUUGAAAACUAAAUCUUUUGACAUAUACUGUUGCAGAUAUGAUAGCCAUUACAGGUUGAUACUUAGUAAAAGUUUUGCUGUUUCUAUUGGUAUAACUUAGUGCUCCAAAAUGUCUUCUUAUUUGUUCUGCAGGUAUCGUGUACAAAGUGAUAGAAAAGUUGCUGUAUGCAGUGUACAUCCAACUGAACAGGCAACACUACAAUGCCUGGUUUGUGUCAAGGCAAAAGUACCUAUUGCCAAGAGUUUCCAUUGCACGCCUAAGUGUUUUUCAGAUGCUUGGCAGCACCAUCGGGCUUUACAUGAGCGAGCAAGUAACAUUUCAAAUGAAAAUGGAACAGAGGAGGAAGAAAUGUUUGGACGCUUUAGUAGUAUUGGGUCUGGAGUUACAAAUGCAGGGAUUUCUGGUUCAACAUCCAAUAUUGGACAGGGCCCUAGCAUGAGCAAUGCUUCCACACCUAUAUAUCCCACAGCUUUUGCAGAAAGGAGCGGUGAUAGCUUGUUUGAAGUUGGACGGUGUAGAACAUAUACGCCCACAUCUGAUGAUAUUGGUUAUGCUCUGAAGUUUGAAUGUGUAGCAAUAGAUGCAGAGACAAGAAUACCUGUAGGAAAUGCAAAUGCCAUUAUGAUGUCACGUGUGAUACCAGCUCCAACUCCAACUCCACGACGCAUGAUUCAAGUGAAUGAUGUCUUGGGCCAUAUGGAUCCUGAUAGCCGAAUUGCAUCUUCUGGAACCUUCUCAGUGCUCUCAUACAACAUUCUUUCUGAUGCAUAUGCGACCAGUGAAUCAUAUAGUUAUUGCCCCUCUUGGGCUCUUUCAUGGCCAUACCGUAGGCAGAAUUUGUUAAGGGAAAUUGUUGGUUACCAUGCUGACAUCCUUUGCCUUCAAGAGGUACAUAAUUCUGAUUUAUAUCAUUUUUUAUAAUGGAGAGAAUCAUAUAAAGUAUUCAAUUUCUGGAUCAUUUAUCAGUUGUUUUCUGGUUCCUUCACAACUUUAAUGGACCUUGAUAACUAAAUUUCUGUUAAGUAGAAGUUCCCAGAUAUCACAAACAAGCUGAUAGAGCUUCAGACCUCAAGGGAGAAUAUAAAUUUGAAUCCCUCACAUUUUGUUUAUGACUUCGUAAUAUAAAAAAAUGCUGUUAAAUCUCAGAUCAAUUUCAUUGGCAAUCUUAAAAUUCAAAAUUCUCUGGUGAUGAAUUAUUUUUUUCUUGGUGCUUGUGUGUCUCAGAGGUUUUUGGAUCCCUAAUUCUUAGCUUUCCACAGCAUAAAUAAUACACAGAUGAUUACCAUGUUCCAAACAAUGCUGUUAAAUCUCAGAUCAAUUUCAUUGACAAUCUCAAAAUUCAAAAUUCUCUGGUGUUGAAAUUUUUUUUCUUGGUGAUUGUGUGUCUUAGAGGUUUUUGUCUCCUAAUUCUUAGCUUGUGUUGCAUUGCAGUCAUGAAUCUUCAAAUGACUGGUCUGAUGUUUGAAAGAAACUAUUACCAUGUUCAGAUUUUGAACAGAAUUUUGCAAGCUAAAAAUGGCAAUGCUAUAAUUUUGCAGGUUCAAAGUGACCAUUUUGAGGAGUUUUUUGCACCUGAACUAGAUAAGCAUGGAUAUCAAGCACUUUACAAGAAAAAAACAUCAGAGGUUAACUCGCACAUGCUCAGUUGCUUCUGAAACUUUAACUUUCCAUUGCUUUCAGCUGUAAAUUUGGUUAACAAUUGGUGGUUGGUUCAGGUUUAUAGUGGAAAUCCAAAUGCAAUUGAUGGCUGUGCAACAUUUUUUCGCAGGGACAAGUUUUCACAUGUCAAAAAAUAUGAGGUAGAUAUACUUUUGGGAUUAGUCAUUGACUACUGUUAUGUCAUUUAGUUGAUGAAUUCCUUUCAUUUUGCAGGUUGAAUUCAAUAAAGCUGCACAGUCUUUGACAGAUGCUGUUAUUCAACCUGGUCAGAAGAAAGUGGCUUUGAGUCGAUUGAUUAAGGUUGCUGGCUUUGACGUCAUUUUAGAUUUCUUGAGCUUUUUGUUUUCUAACUUUUGUUCUGUUACCCUGUUUAACUAUCUUCCUUCGUACAGGAUAAUAUUGCUCUUAUUGUGGUACUUGAAGCAAAAUUCAGUAACCAUGGUGCUGAUAAUCCUGGAAAAAGACAGCUGCUUUGUGUGGUAGGUCAACCAGCUUCCUUCUUUUUCUGGCUCAUGCUAACUUCUUCUGGGUACUAGUUUUUCUUGUUUGGAAAGGUGGAUAUUCUUGAUGAUGCAUUCAAGAUGUUUGUAUUUGAUGACACAAAAUGUAACUUUUACAAUCCGAGCAAUAUUACUUCCAUGCACUGUAUUUCAUGGUACUUGUUUAAAGACUAACCGAUAUGAUAUCUUCGUGAUCCAUACAGAAACUAACUAGGAUACCUAGUUUUCUUGGAUAAACCACAAUGACCUUUAGUCUUAACAUGGAGAAAAUGGCUUGAGUGUCAUAUAACUGAGCAAACCUUUGAAAGCUGGUGCUUAUAUUCACCUUCUCUAUGGAGGCUUGGAAAAUCGAUCAUUGUCUACUCAAGUGAAUACUUAGACCCCGUUUAGGAUUGCUUUUGGAGGGGCCAAAAGUGUUUUCUGGAGCCCUAAAAGCACUGUUGGGCAAUAUGGGUGUUUGGGAAAAAACCAGUGGUCCAUCUGGAAGCUGAAAAAUCUCUAAGGGGCAAAAGCUUCAAUUUGGAGCUUCUUCCCAAAAACACUUUCUGAAGCCCGUUGGGAAGUUGUUUGUAUGAUGAAAAUAUUACUGGACUUUACAUUAUAUUAAUAUCUCUGGUCAUAGCUGUACCUUGUAUUGCACCAAUGGGUUCGUUGAGUGGGACUGUGCUGUCUGACAUUUGCUUGGGAAUGAGGCCAAGUUUAUGCAACCUACUGGUUGCCUGUUUUUCAUUAGUAAAUGAGUCAUUGGCUACGUAGGCAUAAUUGCAAGUCUUAAAGAGUAGCUUUUAUUCUAUAUCGCAAAGCUAAAAUGAAUAAAAUGAAAUUUAUUCUUUCCUUGCUUUUGUUUAAUUUAAAAGAAAAAAGGGACAUUGGUUGCUGUGCCUUGUGCAGAUAUGUUUUACGAUUACAUGUUUUCAUGUGUAGUUCUGCUUGCAUUUUUUAUAAUUGGGUUGUGCGUUGUGUAAAACUGUAGGUGUUCUUUCAUGUUUUAUUAUGCGUUAAUCGGGGGCUCUUGUAACCAGUUGUUUCUGCUCUGGUCUACCUUUGCAGGCAAAUACACAUGUAAACGUCCAUCAGGAUCACAAAGAUGUUAAACUCUGGCAGGUUCUAAUCCUAUCACAUUCUAAUAAUCAUGUGUUUAUUUUUUGUUUGUAUUUCUUUCCAAUUUUUCUUGAAUGUUGUCAUGAAUGCAAUCUUCUCAGGUGCAUACUCUUUUAAAAGGAUUGGAGAAAAUUGCUGUCAGUGCAGACAUUCCAAUGUUGGUGUGUGGAGAUUUUAAUUCAGUUCCAGGAAGGUGUGCAGCUUUAUUCUUAGAUUCUUUGAGAGUUUUUUUCAUUUUUUCUUGUAUAGGUAGUCUUAAAAUAUCUGAGGAGAAUGUUGUGGAUGUAGUGCUCCUCAUGCGCUUCUUGCAAUUGGCAAGGUAGAUCAACUGCAUCUGGACUUGGCUGUAGACCCCCUUGGGAUUCUGCGCCCUCCUAGCAAGUUAACUCACCAGCUUCCACUGGUAUUAUUUAUACGUGCGUUGCCUGACCUGGAUCUCUCUGAGUACCCAUUAUUUACUUGUAGCAUGCAUUACAGGUUAGUGCAUACUCUUCUUUUGCAAGAAUGAUGGUGGUUGGUCACAGUUUAGAGCAACAAAGGAAGAGAAUGGAUCCCACAACAAAUGAACCUUUGUUCACAAAUUGUACUAGGGAUUUUAUUGGCACUGUUGAUUACAUAUUUUACACAGGUGGGCAACUGUUGUAGUUAUUAUUAUAAUUUAGUGAGGUUGCAUCCUUUUGUUUUUGGUUUCCCGCUUUGCUCUUAGUGGUGUUGCAUCUUGCGAUUUCAGCUGACUCUUUGACAGUGGAAUCACUAUUGGAACUCUUGGAUGAGGAAAGCUUGCGCAAAGACACAGCUCUUCCUUCUGCUGAGUGGUCAUCGGAUCAUCUAGCACUUUUAGCAGAAUUCCGGUGCAAGCCUAGAGUCAGACGUUGAAAUUAGAGGUGCAUAAAAAGUUCACUUUUCUAUUUCUUCUCAUUCCAUUUUUUUUCUUGAUCUGUACAGGACAUGAAUAUAUAUAACUUAUUUCUAAUCUUGCCUUGAGAUCUCAUGCAUAUCUGAUGGUUUUAAAACAUGUGUAUUUAUAGGAUAAAUUAAAAAAAUGUCAGAGAUGAUUUUGGAAGAGAUAUAAACUCCGUAUAAUAAUUGUGGCUGUACAGGCCUUGCUCGCUAUAACCAAUAAAACAACAAUUUAAACUCCCACUUUGAAGCUAACUUAUAAUGACCUAGGAUGUAAAUUCGAAAAACACAAUCUCAACGAUUGCCUUAUGUGAUUGCUAGCUGGAAGUAUCCUGGGGCAGCCACUUUGUGCAAAAAAUACUAAAGGUUAGGCCUGUCCCCAGUUUUCCCCUCUUAGGACCCUGGAAUGCUGGGACCAUAACUGGGUUUUUCCCCUGUGCUAGCUGGAAUUAGAUUCUGAAGCAGUGAUAAACCAUAUUUUUUCUUGUAUUCACGUAAUUAAUCCGAGAUUCUUUCCAUUUCCCUUUUUUCUUAUUAUCAAACCCUUCUUUGUGAUGAAGCCUGGCCUUGAACUUGCGACGAUUUUAAGACAACUAUUAAAGUGGCCAAACCUAGACUCUAAAUCACAUUUGUGAGAUUCGUAAGCUCCUAAGUUGAGAUGGGGAAAAGUUUCUUUCUCCAAUGAAAUGGGGUAGAUAUGCUGACCAUUUGUUUCUACAACAUGAUGUAACCGUGCAAACCACUGUUGCACUGGUUGCCCCAUUGGUUGUAUAUCUUGUGUUUAUAAGGAUGAUUUAUCUUUUAAUCAUCAUCAUGACAACAAUGCGAUCUGGCAUGCAACUAUACUAUUUUCGUGGGAUAGUUGUGGGUAUGCACAUAGUAUCGGUCGAAUAAAAUAAAUGGUUCAUUGUCUUUCUUUUUCAUAGACCUUUAAACUCCUCAUUAAAAUGAUUGGCUUGAUUUUUUCUGAUAAAAAAAUGUUUGGUUUGAGUUAGCUCUAAUAUGGAAGAAAAGGUAGAAAAUGCUAAGAGUGCAACUUCAUGAGUUUUUCAUAAAGUUCUAAAUUGAAUAAAGCAUGUGAUGGAGAUAAUUAAAACAACUAAGUUGGUUGCGUGAAGUACAGAUUAGAAGUUGCAAUAUUCUAGUUUCAUUUUCUGAUCAAAUUUGCACUAAUGGUUCUGUGGAGGUUGCAUAGGAGGCUCCAUUAUGAUUAACAUGAAUCGAGAAUGAUGUUGACACUAAGUAAUUUAGAACCUGGGAUGGGCGGUGUUAAUUACUUGACACAAAAAAUCGUUCUCUCUUGGUGAAUGAUCAAUCCUCAAAUACAACGCCCUUGUUCAUUCGAUUUCUAAUAGAGUAACAUCAAUCUGAGCUUUAACCAAUCUUAAGCUCUUCUAGGACUGUAUUGAGUAUAAUGGACUUAUAAUUUGAUUAAUUGAUUCUGUGGCCUUGCAAGCCAAACCAAGGAUAAAAUGUUGCUUGCUCCUGCCUGUGACUGCCAUAGAUUGGAUUCAGAAGUAACCAGAAAUUACGUCUGAAAGGAUCAUCUGCGAUUUUUUUUCUUGCUUUAACAUUGCCCGACAAUUUUGAAACAGAGUUAGGGUGACUAAUGAUUUUAAGGCCGCUAGAGUUUGUUAGUUAUUGUUAUGAUGGCACACCCUACCAUUCAUGCAUAUACUGAAAAUGGUCUUGUUUCUUGGCGUAAUAUAAAGCAAGUUCUCAAUAACGAAAAGAACAAUGUUGGUUGGUUUAACUGAUACUACAUUGAAAUGUUUUGCUAACGUACUACUUUAAAUGGAAUUUUGGAACUUGAAAUGAAGGGAAUUUAGUAUUUUGUGGGGCAUAAAAAUGGUGCAUGGAAAGUAUUUGCAGUGCUUGCAGAUUUAGGUUAGGAAAUGAAGGAUGGUGUCAUUUUUCCCUCUUUCCGCUUUUGUCAGGUUUCUACUUGGAGUGCAAAUAUUUUACAGGACAGGAACGCUAGCUUUUGGCAUGUUUUGUGUGAAAAUUUCUCACGGACUUGUGUUGUUGUAAAGCCUGCCAAACAAGGGGGAGUUUUGUUUUCGAGUAGGCUUAAUUCUUUCUUUUCCCUAUGAUUGUACUGCCAAAUGCUCCCCUGUCAUAAUAUUUUAUGAAUUACAGUUAACCUUCUCAUAAAUGAAUAGUCAACUCGAGAAUUUUGAUUUGUUUUUUGCUGCAGACUUGAGAAUAUUAAUUGGUAUAAUUGCCCGUUGAAUUAAGUUGUCUUAUACCUUUUUUUCUGUGGGAAAAGUCUAUCGGGUAGCAAUGGUUGUCAUGAUGCUAUACCCAAUGUUUUUCUCUUCAUCUUGCUGGUGGAAUUUGAUUGACACUUGUAAAUUUGCAGAAUUCACCGACUUUGCACUUUCCUCUCCUGACACUAUUCUUUUUUUCCUCUCUUUUUAAAUUGACUCUGCUCUGCAGGUCUUUUUCUCCGACCUGUUUGUCACUGUUUGUAUGGAGAAGUUGAGGAGGAUGAUAAAGGAAGUCCAUCUGGUAGCCCUCUCUAACAAGGUAGAUAAUGUUCAUUGUGCUCUCUCACGAUGUUUCCAUUCUUGUGGGCUUAUUAUUGAUCUACUUGUAUCAUUGUCGGUGUCUCAUAGAAAACUGCUUAAUCUAUUUUCUUUUCAGAAAAAAGUUCAGGGUUGAUCUUUUUUCUAGCCAUUGUCUAGUAUAAUUUUUUUUUAUUUAAGUGAGGCUUCCCGCUACAAGUUCUGAAUGUGUUACACUUUAUUUCUUUGUCCGCAAAGCGGAAUGUCGUGCGUUUGUCAGUCACGAUGUGCAGGAAUGCUCAGAGUUAUAGGGUUUGAUACUAUCGAUAUUUGGUAUGUUAAAAAAAUUUAUAUCGUACCGGACUGACAAUGCUAGUGGGGCAUCGAUAUUAGGUUCGAUACUUGAUUAUAGCUAUUAUAUAUAUUUUUUUAAAAAAGAAAGAAAUUCUUGAAGCCGUCUAGGUAGCAGGCUCGGGCAAUUUUUGCAAUUAGCUGCCCGUCACCAAGGACCAAGGGAUGAUAACCUAGCUGAAUUUGAUAUUGAUCUUAUACUAUUUACUGGCCAAAGCCCAUAAAUGGGACAAACUUUUAGAGCAUGGACCCUGAUAAGUCAAUAGAACCAAUCAGAAGCAGGAAGCUAAUUUAGAGCUCAGCUCGCAAUCUCUAUUUUUUUUUGUUUUGUUUUGUUUUGUUCUGGGCAAGUUACAUUGACCUGUAAUAUUCAUUUAGCAUUACUGAGACCGAUACAACUUAAUGGAUCAAUGAUACAUGAACACAGACAAGUUAUACGCAAUUAAUGUGUAACUAUCAUAUUCCUCCUCUCGCGGGCAGCGUGCACCGUAUCGGAUAUUUGCUGUUAGUGAGAGGACGACCGGAAGAGUUAAAAAUCAUCUACUCAACUUUACGUGCUAGUAAUUUUUCCCCCCCUCUAAUUCCAUAACAUGGCUUAUUUGACAUUGUCUAAAAAAUCCCACUGACAUGCCCAUCAAGGUAUUGCUAUUAAUAAGUAGUUCUCUGGCAGAUGAAGAGUCCUGAUGAAUUCUUCUCCUUCAAUUCAUCGAGGAUUGCUAAUCUAAUGUGUGAGUGUGGUAGAUCUUUGUCUCGAGCUUAUAUGCCGGUUGCCCACCGUUUUAGUUACCACGCACUAUUUAUUGCUUGCUUUCUUUCAAAGCCAAGCAGAGAAGCUGUUUGAGGUUGUUGUUGCAGCAAAGGCCACCACAACGGGCGGUGAGGCCACGAACGCACGAGCAAGCAGCGGUGGCAGAAGUAAUAACCAUAGUAUUAGUAGGGGAAGGAAAUGGUUGGAAGUGGGGAAGGCUGGUGGCCUGUCCGCAUCCACUUUACUCGUUGCACUCCGAGUCUUGGGCGGCUAAGCUAGCUUAGGGAAUUAUAAAAAAAAGACAAAAAAUGGACUGCUUGGCUUUGGUCACGAAUUGAUUCUUCCUGUCUCUGCCUAUUCCAACAUCCAAGUACCAACCAUUGGCUGCAUCUUUUCAUGCGACAAAAAGAAUGAUUCACCUUCCUCCACAUGAAUCAGCCCUUGGAUCACUUACUGAAAACCCCAACUCUGCCAUUCAUGUAUCUGCAUGGAUCUUAGAGCAAUCAGCAAAUGAUCCAACGGUGGAUUCGCCGCACGAAGAGAGAUUUAUCUUUUUUUCUUUUUUUCUUUUUUUUGCGUCAAAGAUGAACCAUUUUUAUGGUUCAUGGUUAUGAAAACGGGAGGCCCUUGGAAUUCUAUUUGGCUUUUUUUUUUCUUCUUCGUUUAUGGUUUUAGAAACUUUGUUAUGCUGCGGCUUAGAUAGGCUGUAGCUCCUUUGAAUGAUAAGAGAUGUUGCUAUCGACUUUGUCCAUCUUACAACCCGCUACACCGCUAAGAUUUUCCAUGGCGAUGUCAUUCCCCGUCGCCUAACCAAAUUUGCUAGGAUGCAAAAGGUCAAACCAUGACGGCUAAAAAGAAGGCCAUAAGAAGGCCAUGGGGAGAGAGAGCGCUGCCCGGAGCACUUCGGAACUUUUUGUUUUCUGACUUUAUUGGGUGUAUUCUUACCUGUAAUGCAUGAAAUGCCCGUUUUAGCAAAAAAAAGAAAAAGAAAAAAAGGAGGCCACAGCCGAAACAUGAUUAUAUGAUUUAGCAAUAGGGCUAGAUGUUAAUGUUGGGGUUUUAUGAAGUCCAAGUCAAUGAAUCAGCUCAAAAAGAGAGCAUCCUGCACUCGUUUCAUUUGGGCUCUGACGCAUUCAGCCUCAAUGUUUCUCCAUUGACCAACAAAAUAUAACAGUAAUGAUAUGUAAUGACAUACCAUAUCACAAUGUAAUGCUGAAAAUAGCUAAGAAUGCGCUCAACAGUUUGCUUGUAAAUGGCUAUAGGAACAUGAAUAAAGUGGCAAUUUUGCUCCGAAAUAAUAAUAAAAAAAAGCAGCAGUAGCAUGUUAGAUUUGCUUUGUCUAGUUCAAGUUUUAGUAUAUUUGUGUUAUGUUUGAAACAUAUAAUCAUGACUGAGAGUAAGAAGGUUUAAUGUAGGUUUGAGUCCAAAAUCUAACCCAAGUUUCAUAAGUAUUAUUUCAUACAUAGACGAAGUAAAUUUAGUUCAUCCUGAUCUUUUACUACUUAAAUUGUCCUUAACUCUAUGACCACUCAGUAUGCCCAUAGACCACCUUCAUGGCAUGUCAGAUCAACAGCUCUAGAACAUCAUCACAUGUAAAGUUUUGCUUGUAAUAGAAACAUUCAUGAUAGUUCUAGAUAGACAAUUCUAUAUUCUUGGAUUGGCCAUGCAAUGAAGUGUGUUUUGAAUUGCAUACUUGACUUGUGAUUCAUGAUUCAAGGUUAUUAAGUUCAAUCUUCUAUGUCCGAUCUUGCAGUCUUCCCUAUUAUUUAAUCUCUUUCUAAAUAUUUACGAAUUUUGGAUGGUUUCUUCUUGAAUGCAUAAGCUGAGCUUAUGUAACUGGCAAGCUGUUUCUCUAAUUUUAUCAUUAUACUAAAUGAUUAAUAAACAUUCGCAUUAGGCUUCCGACAUCCUUUUUUUUCUUUUUCUUUUUCUUUUUCUUUUUGGUGUCGUGGGUUUGGGUGUGGGGAAUACAAAUUGUGCUUCUAAGUUCUAACUGGACUGAAACUGUUAUUGUUUAGAAACUAUGGGAGAACUCUUAACAGCAAAAUCUCAUAGUAGGUUUACAAGUAGCUCAUGCACAAGUUUCAAGACUAUCAAUUUUUUAAAAAAAUGCCAGAAAUACUUAUGUAUUUCUUUAGUAUGUUCAUAUCUAUAGUAUGCAUGAGUAAUCUAUCAUGGUUAAAUUUUGAAGCUAUUAUAGAAUUUAUUCCUUUCUAGUGGAAGGUGGAAACUAAGUUUCUAGUUUUGCAAGUUUCCAAGGGUGCCCCAAAAUACUAGAUACUCAAUCUGACAUUUAUGGCAGGUUUCCUGCAUGAUUAAUUCGACGUGCAUGGCAGGUGGAAACCGCACGCUUUCUGAAAUCUAUGAUAUAACCGUGCUCUGAGUGAAUUGGGUAUCUUUUUUACCUCGGAAACUUUUGAAGUAUAAUUUGAUGAUACGAUAACCUCGGAAAACCAAAAAGAUUUUUUUUUUGAAAAGGAAAACAAUUGAUUCCUUCCCAAGAUUUUUUUUUUUGUAAAGGAAAACAAUUGAUUCCUUUCCAAGAUACGCCGUUUUUUCAACUACCUGAGUCCCCGUUUCCCACCUCGUUUCACCAUUGGCAAAUCGACUUCCAUCUUCCCCUCCCUUCCACUUCGCCUGCUUCUACGCUAAGAAAACAAAAUUUACCAAGUUCGCUGUUCCGAAUUUUUCAUUCUAUUUAUUCUUCUUUUUUCUUUGGAAAAGGGGAGUGAUGAUAAACUGGUAAGAGGAGAGCACGGGCAAGAGAGGGAGGUGACGGCACCGCGUCCAACCCGGUACUCAGACGAACGCCACCGAGAUCUGAUCACGCGCGAUUCCGUCACCGGAUCUCUGCUCCGGCAAUGCCCCCUCCCCCGGAUCGAUCCCCUCGCCGGAGCUCCACAUAGCGGGAUCGAUCCCGUUACCCUCGCUUCUCUUCUCCCCUCUUCGAGGUCGAAUACGGGAGGCGGCUGCCGGAGAGGAGAAUCUCCUGGGAUUUUGGGGUUUGAUUAGGUUUUGCCUGUUGUUUGGAUCGAGGGUUGGAUGGCUUCGGCGAAGUCGUCUCGAUCUAGGGCAUCGGUGCCCUCGGGGCUGGUCACCACCACGGGGCUCUACCAGGCGGCUAAUGGGGCCGCCGGCCAGGAGAGCGGGGUGCAGCUCGCGGAUAAGCUGAAGAUUUUCAAGACCGAUAAGUUCGAUCCUGAUGCUUACGUGCAGUCCAAAUGUCAGACGAUGAACGAGAAGGUCCGUGCUUUUCUUUUCUAUUGUUCGGAUUCUUGGGUUUCUGGAUUGAAUUUGUGCCAAAGAUAGGUUCCUUUUGGUUUUUCACUCCAAAAAAUGUGCUUUUGAUGGCGGACAUUGUUUCCUUUUUUUUUGAUGGGAUGCCAUUGUGAAUCUGAAUGGUGGUUCGUAUCCUAUAGUGCUUUUGAUGAAUGAUGAAUGAUUUUUCUGAAUAAUUUCCUUCACCACCUUUAUAUGAAUAUUUAGGAUCUAUAUGAAUCUUUAGGAUUUCUUUUUUAAUGGAACGCUAGAUCCAUCAAUGAAUUUUCUCUGGUGAAACAAAUUAUUAUUUUUAUUAUUUUCUUAAAGGAAAUCGAACUUGUAAUUGUCUGGCAGGAAGUAUUAGAUUAACUUGUAGGGACAGUGAUGGGAGUGGCAGGUGUUGAAAUAGUAUGUUCCGUUACCUCAAAGAACCAAAGAAUGAGAACGUGCUUGCUUUUUGAUAAGCAGUCUGAGGUUUUUCAUAGGGAGAAUGGUCAAUAAAAGAUGCUUAAAAAUUGAGAUAUUUUUGUACAAGCACAUUUUUGUAACUUUUCUGAUGGCAUUAGCCUAACGAGAUACCUUCGGAAAAAAAUCCUGCAAACAACUUGGUAAAAUUUUUUGUUCUUUGCCUUAAGGGAAGAAUGUAUUGUUCGGAUGUGUAAAAUCUUCAGCUCAGUAAAAUUAUCUUGCAUUUAAAUAAGCUUUAAAAACUUGGACACUUCAGGAAGAGAAAUGAUGUCAUCAACUUGUAUCAUAAUGUCUACUUCCCGCUAAAAGCAACUAAUAGUUCCUGGAUAUGAAAGGAAAAUGGUAUUUCUAACAUAUUGUAGCUUUUAUUUCUGAUGAAACUUUGGAUCCUAGCAUAUUAUAGUCUGUCUAUUGGAGCACCUCGAAUAUUUAAGUGGUACAGCCAAGUAGGGCCAUGUAACCUCUAUUGAAGAGAGAAUCAUGUUCCAUUGUCAUUUAUAUUGCAUAUGUUGUCUAACAUGUCAUAAUUCAUGCCUUUGUAUAUAAACACAUGCAUAUAUAAAGACAUACUAUGCACAUAUGUUUGUGUGCAUGUGUAUGUAUAUCUAUCUGUCUCUCUCUCUCUCUCUCUCUCUCUCUAUAUAUAUAUAUAUAUAUAUAUAUAUAUAUAUUANNNNNNNNNNNNNNNCUNUCUCUCUCUCUCUCUCUCUCUCUCUCUAUAUAUAUAUAUAUAUAUAUAUAUAUAUAUAUUUGUUCUGCUUUUCCUGAAGGGUGGUGUUUAUAGAUACGAUUGCUAAUUUGCUACUAACUCUUUAUCACAAGAGACUUCGUGCCUGAUAAUCUCUGUAAAAUUUGUUUAAGCUAAAAUUUUGUUUCCAUUCAGGUAUAUGCUUGAGCAUUUGUUUUAUGCUAGAAUAUUUAUGAAUAUGAUAUGUAGUUGAUACUUGUUUAAAUGCAAAUUGCUAGAGCUGCAAACAACUUAUACUUUCAUUCAUUUCAUAUAGGAAAUAAGGCACCUGUGCUCUUAUUUGCAAGAUUUAAAGAAGGCUUCUGCAGAAGAAAUGCGCAGAAGUGUUUAUGCUAACUAUGCAGCAUUCAUUAGGUAUGUAAACAAGUUAUUCAGCCUCUCUAUCAUUUUGAUAUAGAAACACUUUUCAUUGAGUAACUCUUAUAUUAUGCACAAAAUCUGUUCUUUGGUAUUAUCUUCACCAUUUCAUCCUUGCUAAACAGUUAAAUUAGAAGCUUCUUACUCUUUUAACCACAUGACUCAUUUAUUAACAUUAUACCAUAAAUAAAUUCUGACUGUUUAUUUGUCUGGAUGUCAAAAUAGUUCUUGUUCAUCUUCAUCUUAUUGUUGGUAUACAACUUGUUGCCUCUUUUAGUGUUAUUUUCGAAAGAUUAGGGUUGAUAACGAGAAGGAAUAAGAGCACAGGUGUUGCUUGAAGAAACAGUGAUAGAUAAAAAGGCUUCAAUGAAACAGUGACAGAUAAAAAGGCAUAACUUGGUGACCUGUGAGAAUUUUCAUGCUGUAUGCUGGAUUAAAAUUUCAGGCAGAGUGAAUUUUGAGAUGGGAGGACUUAUGGAAACCCAAUCUAGUAGCACUACAAGAUCGUGGACUCACUCAAUUCUAAGUAGCUUUCGAGAAGAUUAUAAUGAUUUUCUGAAAAGGCAUGCAAUUGUUAUCUAUCAUUUACAACCAUUUUUUAUGCCAAGGAUUGAAGUGUCCAUCCUCACCAUAAUUUAUCUGCUAUACACCAUGUUAAUAGGUUUUUUCGAAUCACUACAUUGCAAGUGCCAGCUCAAACACCUAAAUUGUUUCUAUGAAAAAACUAACAACAAGUGUUUUUAAUUAUUAUUGUCAUUGGAAGAAAUAUGAGAUGCCAUAUAUAAACAUUUUUCAUGUAAUAAUUUCAUUUCGUUUCUUUCAUUGUAGCCUAUCUGACAGGUUUCUGUUCCCUUCUCUAAACCCUAACUACCUAUAGGAAUUCAACGCAACUCAUAUAGGAUUGAAAUUAGGUUGAGAUCCAAAUAUUGAAGUUCUUAGAAUUUAUAGAAUCUAUUUUGAUCAAUAAAUGCAACACCAUAUAGAUAGGACAUGCCUUGUUCAUUAAGAUUAAGGUCUUAGUUCAUUUUUUAGGUUCUGUUCUGCUUCUUGUCGUGAGUUAUUUUCUUUGGCUGGUUAUUGUGACUCUUAUCUCUUGAUAUUUAAUUGUUUUCUUACAGAACAUCCAAGGAAAUAUCAGAUCUAGAACGUGAGCUUCUGUCCAUCAGAAAUCUGCUGUCCACUCAGGCAGCUUUAAUUCACGGGUUAGCUGAAGGAGUUCACAUUGAUUCCUUGUCUCCUGGCUCUGAAUGUUCUGCAGAGGAUGAUGUAUCAAAUGUUGAAGACCGAGAGCCUACAGACAUAGAGAUAUGGUCAGCAGAGUUUCCUGAUAUGCUUGAUGUUUUGCUAGCUGAGAGGAGAGUGGAUGAAGCUUUGGAUGCCCUGGAUGAAUCUGAACGUAUUGCUGCAGAAGCAAAACAAAAACAAACUCUAAGUGCUGCUCAGCUCUUGUCACUGCAGACUGCUAUUUCAGAUCAUCGGCAAAAAUUAGCUGAUCAGCUUGCUGAAGCUGCCUGCCAAUCAUCUACUCAUGGUGUUGAACUUCGUGAAGCUGCUUCGGCUCUCAAAAGGCUUGGUGAUGGCCCCCGUGCUCAUAGUUUAUUGCUAAAUGCUCAUAAUCAAAGGCUUCAAUAUAACAUGCAAACUAUUCAUCCAACUAGCACUUCAUAUGGAGGAGCAUAUACUGUUGCUCUGUCACAGCAAGUUUUCUCUGCCAUUGCUCAAGCUGUGAGAGACUCUUUAGAAGUCUUUGGCAAUGAGUCAGCAUAUGCAUCAGAACUUGUAAGAUGGUGUAUAAAGCAAGCAGAGGCUUUUGCACAUCUUGUUAAAAGGCAUGCAUUGGCCUCAUCUGCAGCCGCUGGAGGCUUAAGAGCCGCUGCAGAAUGUGUUCAGAUAGCUAUUGGUCAUUGUUCCUUGUUGGAGGUCCAUGGGCUAUCACUUUCUUCUGUUCUUCUAAAGCUCUUCAGGCCCAGUGUUGAGCAAGCACUGGAUGCUAAUUUAAAGCGAAUCGAAGAAAGUACUGCUGCAUUAGCAGCUGCAGAUGACUGGGUACUUAUGUUUCCGCCAUCUGGUACACGUAUAUCCAGUAGAACAUCUGCUGCAACUGUGGGUGUCCAGCCUAAACUCUCAAGCAGUGCACAUCAUUUCAAUUCGAUGGUUCAGGUGACUAAAAUAUUUCUGUUUAGGACAUGGACAAAAAUAUGUGCUUUAAUUUCACUUUUUUUGCAAUUUUUUUUGAAAUAUGCAUUUGCACUAUGAUGUGCAGAUGCAUAAUAUUUUUUUUUCAUGUUAAGUUUAUUGAAAUGAUGGCUUCCAAGCAGUUAAGAAUUCAGGCGAUGGUAAAAAUUAUGUUUUUGUCAUUAGAACUGGAAAAAAAUAGCAUUCUUCUCUCUAAUAUUUUCUGAAUCUAUAGUUUAACUGAUGGAAGCUUGGUUUUGUGCCCAAUUUACCUGCUAAAUAUUCUUGAGUUGCACAGAUUUCGUCUUGUGGUAAAUAUAUGCUAAUUGACUGCUAAUACUUAAUUGUUUCAUUUUAAGUUAAUUGUCCAUAGGUAUAUCUAUGGUCUUUUCAGUCAUUGCUAUAGUGCUUGUAUUCUCUUAUUGCUUUCUUAGUCUCCUGCCUCUUUUUUCUCUUGAUCAAAAAAUUGUUUAUGAUGUGUUUCCUCAUGGUAUUAGGGCAUUAUAAUGCUUGUCUGCUUCAUUCAUGGGUAAAUCAGUAGGAUUUUUUCCAUUGCAAGGAAGUGUCACUGUAUCUUUUUUUGUAUUUAUGAUAUGUACUUGGCUGCAGUUGUGACAAUGUGGUAAGUGAAACAUAGGGUAUGAUAUUAGACUAUCUCAAGCUACAUUGGACUAUGAAAUUGUAGCAGGCUGAUGCACUUAAGCAUCUAGAAAUAGUUUAUACAAUGUGAUACCAUGCAUAUUACUAUAUUUGAACUAACCUAUCGAAGCUAUCUUAUGUCUGGAUGGUCUGAGAUAACCCUGUGCCCUCCAGAUUGAACUCCAAGCACCUAUUGCUGCUAAACAUCGCUUUAGUUGUCUGAAACUGAAGCUAAAGGAACAUCAAAAUAAGGAUCAAGCAACAGGUAGGAAGGGCAGGGUGAGGUUCUUCUUUUUAGUGCUCAGAAAAUGAUGAAUCAAAUGGCUUUUUAAUGCUUUAUGUCACUUGAAAUUGUUAAACGAUCAUACAGCAGUGGAUUUUUCAGUAAAUUCAUAUACUUGUGAUCAAAUUGAACCAAUCUUUUUUGUUUAAAAAAAAAUGAAGCGUAUGUUUAAGACAGUGACAGAUUAAACCUUUAUAAAUUGGUUAAAACAUUGGUAUUUGGUCUUUAUUGUUUUUUCACUAUCUACUAAUUUCUUAAUCCAAUCUUUUUUGGGGCAUUAUAUAUUUUUUAGUAUUUUUAUGGCCUUUAAUAAAAUUUAUCUUUUCACAAAUAUCUUUUGUCAAAUGAACAAGUGCACUUUUUUCAAAUUUUUGUUUUUGAAGUAGAAAUCUUUCUGUUGCUGCUGCAUUUCUUUAUCAGAGAUGUUAACGGUAUAAUAGCAAAUAUUAUAUAGUUACCCUUUUUUCGCUCUUCAUUUAAAAUUAUGGCAACUCAUCGAUAUUAUGUCUCAUGACAAAUCUUUAUAAGAAACCAUGAUGUUACUAUGCCUUUCAUGUUGAUUGGUCCAAAGUGUUUGUUCCAGAACAAGCUUAAAUUCCAGUUGCAGAGAAUUGUGGAUGUGUGGCACAUCUCCAUAACCAUUUCUGUAGGUGCUGGGCGUGACAUGUGCGUUGUUGUUCCUCUUGAGGCACUUGUUGGGGGAUUGGGGGAUUUUGGUGGGGAAUGAUGGUAGCGUUUUGGGAGAAUGUAUUCCAGUUGUCUGUGGCAGGUAACCUCAUUCUAUUCAGAGCAUGAGCCCAAAGCUAGUUUCUUGCUGCACUUGCAGCUGAACACUAUGUUCUUUUAAAUACCUUGGUAAGCAUGACAUCAGUAGCAAAUUAAGGAUGGUGUUGCAGCAAAGUGAGGAGAGGGAGGAGAGUAUGGACUUCUCUGGUGGAGGGGCAUCUUCUUUUGGAGCAUAUAACUCUUGUUGGAUGCUGCAAGAAGGGUCAGAUACUUUGUGUUUGACAACCAUUUUAGGACUCCUGUCUUAAGAAUCAACUUGCGGCUGUUUACUUCUGUAAAUCUUUUAGAGCUUUAAGAUACUAACAUGAUUACUGGUGCAUGCAACUGUGCAAAAUUAGAACUAUGCGUACCAAUUACAGUAUGAGGCCAAUUUGUCUGUCAAAUUACUUUGAAUUAUAAGUGCAGAUAUUAAAAUGAUGAUUAAUAGAUACACAUUUGAUGAUUUAUGAGUGUUCUGUGCAUGAUUUAUGUAUACCCUUGCACAUGACUGGACAUCAGAGUUUGCCUGUCUCUGCCAAGUAUUUGCAAAAUUAGGUAUGCCUUGCAUACUGUGGUGGCAUGGGCACAGCUUGCAAUGCUUAAAUCCUUAAUAUGCAUACAAAUACAAAAUUAUGAUUUUCUUUUAGUUUUUAGUCAUUUUAUAGUCUUCUCGGACACAUAAUUCAUAUAUAUGCUGAAGAGAAUACCACAAGGAAGCACUGUUGCUACUAACCAAGUAUGUUUUAGUGUUUUAACUUUUAAGCAUGAUGUGUACAGAGGAAAUUUCUUAAAUAUCAAAAUUUUACCUUCGCAGCCAUUAAGUCCUUACAUCACAUCUUGCUGGUUCUUUGGAUGCAUUAGUCUACAGUAUUCAUUCCUUGUUUAAUCAUCUUAAGAAUUUCAAGUUUCUCAUAGAACAGCUAAUACUUAGGUCUUCUAAAAGUUUUAGUUUCCAAAGGGAUGUUUCACAUAGCUUUCUGAUAGGUGUUUGAAUUAAACUAGCAUGAUUCAAUGGCCUCCGAUAAGCAGUUUGCAUCCUCACCUGGUUAACAUUUUGCAGCUUAAGUCAUUAUAAAAUGGUUCUUAAAGUUUAAAUUAUGAUGCAUGAUUAGAUAUCGGUUUUUCAUCUUCUAUUCUUGAUCUUUUCAUUUGCGCCCAUUUCCACUUACAAUGUUACUGCCCUUUUGCAGGACUUCUUUGAGGACGUUGGCCCCCUCCUAGCUAUGCAGUUGGGCGGUUCCACAAUGGAUGGCCUUUUAAAAGUCUUCAGUUCCUAUAUUAGUUUGCUCAUAAAUGCAUUACCAGGUUCCAUGGAAGAUGAGGCAAAUCUGGAGGGUUCUGGGAAUAAAAUUGUUAGAAUUGCAGAGACUGAAGCUCAACAACUAGCUCUACUAGCGAAUGCAUCUUUAUUAGCAGAAGAGUUGCUACCUCGAACAGCCAUGAAGCUUUCCUCUAUGUACCUGGCUGGUGGCGUCGAUGAUUCUCGUAGAAGAACUCCAGAUAGAAAUAACCGUAUUCCAGAACAAAGAGAAUGGAAAAGAAAGCUUCAGCGUUCUGUUGAUAGAUUGAGAGAUAGUUUCUGUAGGCAGCAUGCUCUUGAUCUUAUCUUCACAGAAGAUGGUGACACACAUCUAAGUGCAGAAAUGUACAUAAGCAUGGAUGGGAAUGUUGAGGAGCCAGAGUGGGCUCCCUCUCCAAUAUUUCAGGUAUUUUGAUGUACCUUUUCACCAGUCGUGAAACCCAAGGAGGUUAUCUUGCAUAAUUUAAACUAGGGUAUGCCGUACUGGCCCGUACCAGCCGGUACGAACCGGUCUGGGCUCGGAUCCGGUACCGGGAGUUUUUAUUAGAAAACUAGCCGAUAUGACUGCCGUAUCGAUACGGGACGGUACAGGGCCGAUAUGGAACCGGUACGGAGCUGGUAUGUACCGGUUCGGAUUGCCACCGGUAUGCUGACCGGUACCGGUACGGCGGACCUUGAUUUAAACCAUCUUUUAUCAUACCAACUUGGCUUAAAAACUUUUCUUUCUUUAGUUAAUUUUUGUUUCUGAACAUAUCCUUUUUUUACUGAUUCAUCUAAAUUACAUUCAGCAUCCAUGAUCAAAAUUGCAGUCUUGUUUAUAAUAUUAUUUUACUGGCAUACUCCAGGUCUUGUACCAUGCUGACCUGUGCCUCAUGCAAUGCACAAGCCAGAUAUUAUGUACUGGUACAUCCUGCUGAAGGAAAAGAACCAGAGACAUUCUUUAUUGGCUGAAAUGAUCCUGAACUUACAGCACUAGGAUUUUUUUUUAAUUCUUUUUUUUUUGUGUGUUGAUAAUUUCAACUUUUCCUUGUGUCAUUUUCUCUUCAUAAGAGUGGCUAUCUAUGAAAAUAAUUUGUCUUGACAUGUAAGCAUAUUGUAGUUGUUAUAAAAUAUUGUCUGUCAUUAAAGAGCCAUUCUAAUUGGUCUACUCUAUGUUGAUCUAAUUAGCCUUUCACAAUUUAAGUAAUCUCUUAUUUGUAAGUUGAGUACGCGAAGCAUAUUCUCGUAAUUUUGAUUCAUUGAUGUAGUUUAGUAAUCACAUUUGGCUUACCUAGACAAAAUGAAAUAGAUGUUUACUGAUUAGAAAAAUUGAGGAACGCCUAGCUACCUACUAUUGUCAUAUCAGAUGCGUUUGACUGAUGGUGUUAUGGUAGUAUUGAAUGAUAGGGAUGUCAUGAAAAUAAUGAUGCAAAUUUGGAGCAGUAUCUAUUAUAAGGGAAGGAAGGAUCAUGGUAAAUUAGAGGAAGAAGGCUUGUAUUAAAACAAGUAAGCUUAUUCUGACCAUUCAAGUCCAGGAUAGUUUUGUAAGCUUUUUCAUUUUUUCCUUUUUUUUGCCAGAUAUUUUAAGGUUAUUUCUUAAGUUUUUAUCUUUUGGAGACUGUUCUCAAAUUUUUUGGGAAUAGGGGCUGGUUUUUUAUGGUUGUAUAUUCCCGAACUCUUUGGCUAAUAAAGUAACCUCCCACCGAAGGUCUGCUCUCUUAUUUACAGUUAGGUUAGUAAUUUGACACCAACUCAUUGAGGGGUGGUCAGGGAAUAUGAUAGGAAUGUGCAGAAAUUUGAAGUCGAAAACCAUCACACUGAGUUGUAAAUUGAUAGUUUUAAUGGUUAAAGUUUCGACUUUAUGGAGCCUCAAACUGCCAUGUUCUCAUGAGUUUUUCGGUAAUUGUAUACAGGAACUAUAUGCAAAACUGAAUCGGAUGGCAAGCAUAGCUGCAGAUAUGUUUAUCGGCAGGGAAAGAUUUGCUACCUUGCUAAUGAUGAGGCUUACUGAGACGGUCAUAUUGUGGCUCUCAGAAGAUCAGAGCUUCUGGGAGGAUAUUGAAGAGGGACCAAGACCUUUGGGCCCCCUUGGUCUUCAGCAGGUAGAGGAUUUGAAUAUUAUUCUUGUAUAUUUGGAAAGACAAUCAAGAUUUGCUUAAUUGUUUUUUUUCUGUAGUUUUAUUUGGAUAUGCAGUUUGUAAUGCUUUUUGGACAAGGCCGGUUCUUAUCCCGACACGUGCAUCAAGUUGUUAUCGACAUAAUUGAAAGAGCUAUGGCUGCAUUCUCUGUGUCUGGAAUGAAUCCAGACAGGUAAGCUAUGUAGUAAAUGAGCAGAACUUUAACUCCUAAUGUUUGUUUCUUGCAUUGUUGUUUCUGUAAUUUUUUCAUAUGUUCUUAUAGUUGAAGCUUAUUCCAUUUGUAUGUAAUAAUGAACAAAACUUCUUUACCAGUUUUUGUUUCUUGCUUUGCUAUUUCGAUAAUUUGUCGACAUAAUUUUAUAUUUGAAGCUUGUUUGUUUUAUAAAAUUUGACAUUAGUUGAAUUGUAAUAAAUAUUAAUUUGAGCUUACAAGUAUUUGGCAACUACUGAAGGUCCCUUCUCAUCCUUCCAUCUUUGAACCUGAACUUGAAGACAGUUUUACUAUUUUCUGAGUUUUACUAUUUUCUGAGUUCUUACUACCAGGCUUACACCUCGGACACCUUUUUACCGCUUUGAUCUCAUACAUGAACUUAUUAUCCAUGCAUUCUUGUUGUUUUGCGCAAAAUAUCAUCUAUUUCCUAGUAUGAUUGAGAAAUAUUGACUACAGUUCAUGAUUUGCCAGUUGGAAAUUAAAGUUUUAGUGGUAAACAAUAGAUAUUAUUAUUUUUUUAUUUUUUAGAUGCUAAAUUUUUCAAAACAAAGAGAUAUUGGGAAACUAAUCUCCUCAGUUGGGGAGAGUACCCUUACUUGUUUAUUCCAUUUGAAAAAGAUCAGCAUGCAUAGCAUGGCACCAAGUUAGGUAAUUUUUCGAGCAUGACCAUUAUGGUGGGUGACAUGAAGCAUCAUACAAAUUUCCUUAACUUUGUUUUAAUAUAUCAUACAAAUCAUACCAUUUCAUAUUCUUUAGGCCCAUAAUGAUCAAAUCAUUAACUAAGGCUAAAAUAUUGAUGAUUAUGUAUCAAAUUUAACACUAGCAGCCAAGGUUAUGUCUGUCAUAAUCUUGCCUCAUAAUGACCAACCUCAUCAUGUUAGGCUUUCUUUUUGCAUCAGAUAUUAGUGACAAGUUGACCUGCAUUUUGUCUAUACUCGAUAAUUUUUUCUCUUUCUCUGAGUCUGUUUUGGUCACCUAACCAUGUUCAUUGAAAAAAGUGUUUGGCAGAAUCCUCUUCUAGUUUUGUUGUGCUGUUAUAUUACAUUCGAAAUUAGAUUUUUUUUUUCUAUUACUUAAAUUUGCUUCAGCAAUUCUUCUGUUGGCUGGUUCUUUUUCAUUUUGGUUCGGUUAAUUAACCUGCAAACUCUAUCUUCUGCAAACUAAAUCCAACUUUAUGCAGUGUGCUACCUAGCGAUGAUUGGUUCGUUGACAUUGCUCAAGAAGUUAUAAGUAGGAUAAGUGGCAAAGCUAGAUUGGUCAAUGGAGAUCGUGAACUCAACAGCCCGACUGCCUCUGUGUCAGCACAGUCUUUGUCAUCAGUUAGAUCUCAUGGGAGUACUUAGUGUGCAGUUAUUCUUGUAAACAGGUCCUUGUAUAAUAAGCAAUGAUUUAUUUGUUUCUUUUUUUCUUUCUUGUGUUGCAUUUUGCACUAGAGUAGGUUAUGAUCAGUCUUCUAUAGGAAAUCUUUCAAUCAUUAUUCUUGGAGUUUGAGUCUGUAAAUGUUGGUUGUCAGUGCACAGCCCAAACUCCACAUUGUACCAUUCUUUCUCCACUUUGGCCUUGGGAAUCAUUUUUUCAUUUGGCUUAUGCUUCACUAAUGGAGGAUGAGGGCUCUCUCUCUCUCUCUCUCUGCAUUUUGAAUUGUAUUACUUUGCGUAGCCUGACCUAUUGAUGCGCACACAUAUAUCCUCUAUGUUCAAAUCAAUUUUGUAUGGAAAUAUUGGUUUGGAGAAAUGUUGAUGUUGUGGAUACGCUUCCUUUUGGAUUUAUAGGCUGUAAAGAUCACAAUAUUUUGAUAAUUUGAUUGUUAUGGUCAAGUGCAAUAAUAAUAUCUUCCACCACUUUACUAGCUAUAUGAAUUUUGGUUCUUCUAUGGCAAUAACAGACUGACCAAUUAAUCCUACCAACAGUCUUGGAGCUAGUGGUGCAAAUUGACAAUUUGGGUUUCCACAAGAAAUGUUUAUAUUGCAAGCAAAAUUUAAAGGAAGAUUUUUGUUUUCAUUCAUCAGUAGCACUUGAUUGGUUUCAUUCUAUAACUAAUCUUAUUUUUCCCCUUUUUUUUGUUUUUGUUUGUGAGAAAUGGAGGAGCAAAGCUCCACCAAACUUCGUCGAGUGAAGAUCUUGUUUUGAAGUUAAAUUCCUCUGACUUUUAAGGAGUUCACGACUUCUGUAUGAGUUCAUACCAGAUGUUGGUCAACAGAUUCUUCCACUCAAGUGAUAACAGUCAACGUCACGUUUCAGGCAGUCAACUUAAAGAACAUAAUUUUUUUUAAUUACAAUCAAUGAAAAUCAAAUAAUCCGAUGACCUCCUCUGCGGCCACUCGCACCUCUCCCACCUCCUCAAAGAUGUCGCCUUUUUCCCUCAAAUCCAAGCACCUACGACCCUCCUCCAUACCCGCGUCGGCCGGAGAUUGGAGAAAGAGGGAGCAAGCAAGCAGCGGAGAGAGCGAAGCCAAUAUGGCGGAGGAAGGAGGCAAAUAGAUAUGCAUCUUCCCUCAGAAUUCUCUCUACCUCUGCAAGGGUUGGGAGUCUCAAACAUUGGAUAGAGUUGCCCGUAAUCUGAUGAAGGAAGGAUAAUCAUGAGAAACUUCAAAUCAAUCUGUAGUCUAAUGAGAGAGAACAAUAGCUUUGAUAAAACGGCAUGCGGGCUUAGCAAUUCGGGAAAUUUACCUUUAAGGUGCUGAAGUUCCAUAGAUUUUGUAAAAGCAUCUUCUUCUUUAGAUGGUCUUGUAUUAUAUGGACGUUAGGAUACUCAGGUUGAAACAUGAACUUCAUCCAAGAUCAGAUUCCUUCUCCUAUUCUCGUCAUACCUGUGAAAAAGAGUUAAAAUGAUCCCAUGCAACAAAGGAAACGUUUAUGGAAGCUACUGACAGAAAUAAAUGGAAUUAUAGAGGUGAUAUGGAGUAAGAGGGUCCCUCAUCUAUCUCCGGUCCGGAGAGAUGACGAAGGCCCCUCACCUCUUUCUUUUUCUCCUUAUCUAUCUCCGCUUUCGCAUGGGAAUCUAUUCGAGGCCGUGGAUUCUAUUGGUGGAUGUCGAAGAGGUGCCGGAAGUCCUGCAUUAUGGAAAUAAUCACAGAGCUUUUUGGACCAGUUUACGACAAGAACGUGUUCUGCAUGCUCGCUAAAGUAUCGAACACAUUCCGAAUGCUAUUUAAUAGGCUUCACUCCAGCAAAAUAAAAAAGAAAAGAAAAAAAAAGGAGAAAGGAUCGGCAUCACUGUCCUUUUUUUAUAGCACUCUGUUCUGGAACAGAGUAUUAUAUAUUCUCGGUUGCCUUUUGCCACUGAGGUGAAGGAAAUAAGGAUUUAAUAUAAAGGGUUUCCCCCGCUCCAAUCAACCAAGGUUAGGUCUGGGUCACAUCCAGCGUUCAGGUUAAUGCACCGAGGUUUAAUCAAACUCGCCAAGGUCAGGGUGAAAAUGACCUCCAAUGAUGGUCUCAUGGAGAGAGCUCUGAAUUCCACCAUUAAUUAGUGGCAUAAUGAGCAAGCGAGCUCUGUUUAUGGAGAAUGGUCGUAAUUGUACCUACAGCUCACACGAGAAUUCUCCUGCCAUGCUGCACGAUGGAAUUAAUGCAUUUGAACCAUAAAUAUCUGCGAAGGCUCAAAGAUCUGGUUGAUGCUGCUCCAUUCUGAGCAACAAGUAUUGGAGCUCGAAGCCAUCGUAGUAGAGGAAAAGAGAAGAGAGAGAGAGAGAGAGAGAGAGAGAGAGAGAGNNNNNNNNNNNNNNNNNNNNAGAGAGAGAGAGAGAGAGAGAGAGAGAGAGAGAGAGCCAUUUGAUCGAUUAAAUCGUCUUUUAGAACCCACCCAAUCAUGAGACCUGGCGAAUAUUGAGAUCCAAGAGUAAAACUAGCUUACACAGGUGGAACCGAGUUUGGUGGUGUAGAAAGGUGACGAUAUCCAUAUCUAUGGUUAGCCACAGAAGGUGUCAUCUUUCCUGCAACAAAAGAAGCCCCAUGCCUUCAUAACUCCAUGGCUGGUUGCAAAGUUGAAGCCAUUCUCUACCUGCAUCUAUAAUGUCUCCUUGCACAUGGGAUCUGGUCGGAGAGAUGGAAUGGAGUUAAGAGGGUCCCUUGUCCGGAGACAUGACACUCGCUUCGAGCUGGAAGACCGAUCGAAGCCGGUGUCAUCUCUCCUGACAGAGGUCCCCCACCCCUGCGCGCCUCCUAUGUUUCCUUGGGCUUUCUUCUUAAGCCUAGGGGCCCGUACUUAUAGAUGGAUGGAGCUCAUCUUUCUUCCUUCUCCACCAUUGAGUUCAUAUUGGCCAGCUCAUCAUAAGUGGACCACCUCCAAGUUGGAAUAGUCUAACCUCGUGCUUUCAAGCAUGGAAUUCUAAUUUAGAUGCAAGUCGGUCAAACA
rnacentral:lncRNA from 1 species